GGUAACAAACAAAGCAACCUUUCAUGGAGAGAAACUUUAGUCUCAGUAUGAUCACUGUGUCAUUAACCCACUUCCUGCUUCUUUGCUUGGUUGUUGCAGCAGCAGCAGCAGCAGCAAGCAACAAUAUUACCACAGACCAACAAGCUCUUCUUGCCCUGAAAGAUCAUAUAACUUAUGAUCCAACCAAACUUUUUGCCCAUAAUUGGACCUCGAAUACCUCUGUUUGCACCUGGAUUGGCCUCAGUUGUGAUGUCAAUAGCCAUAGAGUCACAGCCUUAGAUAUUUCUCAAUUCAAUAUACAAGGCACCAUCCCUCCUCAACUUGGAAACCUCUCUUCACUCACAACACUUAAUCUUAGUCGUAAUAAGCUUUCUGGAAGCAUUCCCCCCUCCAUCUACACCAUGCAUACGCUAAAAUUUCUAGACUUCACUGAUAACCUGCUCUCUGGUUCAGUGUCUUCCUCCGUCUUCAACAUGUCUUCAAUAUUAGACAUUCGUUUGACCAAUAACAGACUUUCUGGUGAGCUUCCGAAAAAUAUUUGCAACUAUCUUCCUUACUUGAAAGCCCUUUUUCUGGACAAAAACAAGUUGCAUGGCAAAAUUCCUUCAGCUUUAUCAAAUUGCAAACAACUGCAACAAUUGCAUUUGCAGUUCAAUAAUUUAUCCGGUGCAAUACCGAAAGAAAUCGGCAACUUGACUAUGCUCAAAUGGAUAGAUCUCGGCUACAACAAACUCCACGGUAUGUUUCAUAAUGCUAUCUAAAUAUUUUAAUUUAUCACUUGUUUAUUUUAAUUUCUCACUUGUUAUUUUUCUUGAAUACUUUAGAUAAGAUCUAGUAAGUGAGAUUUUUUGCAUCUAUGUUAAUUUACCAGGUGAGAUACCCCCCGAAAUCGCUAAUCUUCGAAAUCUAGAGGCUUUGGUGCUUGGAAUGAACAACCUAGUGGGUGUGUUACCAGCUACAAUCUUCAACAUGUCAACACUGAAGGUAGUUAUCCUCAUUAAUAACUCUCUCUUCGGAAGUCUCCCAUCAAGAAUAGACCUUUCACUUCCAACUAUUGAGCACCUUAACUUGGCACUUAAUAGAUUUUCUGGAACCAUUCCUAGUUCCAUCACCAAUGCUUCUAAGCUCACCUUUCUAGAGUUGGGAGGAAACACAUUUUCGGGCUUUAUUCCGAACACAAUUGGUAAUUUAAGAAACCUUGAGUGGCUCAGCUUGGGUAAUAACUACUUGACAUCUUCAACCUCAAAAUUGAGCUUUCUUUCCUCUUUGGCAAAUUGCAAGAAAUUAAGAGACAUAGGCUUAACAGGCAAUCCACUCGACGGUAUCCUUCCAAGUUCAAUAGGUAAUCUUUCCAUGUCUUUGAAAACACUUUACAUCGGCAAUUGCAGUAUUAGUGGCAACAUUCCUCAAUCAAUUGGCAAUUUAAGCAACUUAUUGGCCUUAGUAUUAGAAGGCAAUAAAUUGACCGGACCAAUCCCAACUACAUUCGGCCAACUGCAGAAACUCCAAGGCUUAUUUCUUACAUUCAAUAAGUUGGUAGGUUCAUUCCCAGAUGAGCUUUUCCAUCUAGCUAGGCUGGAUAAAUUGGUAUUAUUGGGAAAUAAGCUUUCAGGAUCUAUGCCUUCAUGCUUAAGUAACCUCACUUCUCUGAGAUCUCUCUACUUAGGGUCCAAUAGGUUUACUUCUGUUAUUCCCUCAACUUUCUGGAGCCUAAAAGACAUCUUGUUCUUUGACUUUUCAUCAAAUUUCUUGGUUGGUACUCUUUCUUUCGACAUAGGUAAUUUGAAGGUGCUUCUAGGAAUAAGUUUAUCAGAAAAUAACUUAUCGGGUGAUAUGCCAGCCACAAUUGGAGGGAUAAAAAAACCUUCAAAUUAUGGACCUAGCAUAUAAUAGAUUGGAAGGGCAAAUUCCUGAAUCAUUUGGUGACUUGACAAGUUUGGAGGUUUUGAAUUUGUCAAAUAAUAAAAUCUCUGGGUCUAUUCCAAAAUCCAUGGAGAAACUCUUUUACCUCCGAGAGUUAAAUCUCUCUUUCAAUGAACUAGAAGGUGAGAUUCCUAGUGGAGGAAUUUUUGCCAACUUCACAGCUGAGUCAUUUAUGGGAAAUGAGUUAUUGUGUGGUUUACCAAAUCUUCAAGUCCAACCAUGCAAAGUUAGCAAGCCGAGGACAGAACAUAAAUCAAGGAAAAAGAUACUUCUCAUUGUGAUUGUUUUGCCAUUGAGUAUUGCUCUAACAAUAGCAAUCACUCUACCUCUCAAAUCUAAGCUGAUCGAAUGUGGAAAAAGAAGCACAGUGUUGUCAAAUGAUAGUGUCUUGUCAUCACAAGCAACACUAAGAAGAUUUUCAUACUUAGAACUUUUACAAGCAACAGAUAAUUUUGCUGAAAACAACGUAAUUGGCAUAGGAGGUUUUGGUUCUGUUUACGGUGGAAGACUUGAAGAUGGGAUGAAGAUUGCAAUAAAAGUGUUUCACCAGCAAUGUGCAAGCGCAUUGAAGAGUUUUGAGGCUGAAUGUGAAGUGUUAAAAAAUAUUCGCCAUCGAAACCUUAUUAAAGUUAUCAGCAGUUAUUCAAACAAUGACUUCAAAGCAUUAGUUCUAGAAUACAUGUCCAACGGGAGCUUAGGGGACUGGCUGCAUUCUAGCAAUUAUGUGCUGAAUAUAUUUCAGAGGUUGAACAUAAUGAUUGAUGUUGCAUCAGCUUUAGAACAUCUCCACUUCGAUCAUUCGACUCCUAUUAUUCAUUGUGACUUAAAGCCUAGUAAUGUAUUGUUGGACGGAAAUAUGGUUGCUCAUUUGAGUGAUUUUGGCAUAGCAAAGCUUUUAAGUGGAGAGGAUGAGUCUAUGAUGCGAACAAAAACCCUUGCCACUAUAGGUUAUAUGGCACCAGGUUUGCUUCAAACAACUUUUUUUUUUUAGUUCAUUUUAAAUUUUGCAACUUAUUGAUUUUUACGAUCCUCACAUCAAAAUGUUAUUGAUUAUUUAUCUAAUUUUGAAAUUAAUUUGAUUCAUAGAGUACGGCAUAGAAGGAGAAGUAUCUACAAAAAGUGAUGUUUACAGCUAUGGGAUUAUGUUGAUGGAAACUUUUACCAAGAAAAAACCCACAGAUGAAAUUUUUGUUGGAGAAUUGAGCUUGAAGCGUUGGGUUAAUGACUUGCUUCCUACUUCAUUAGUGGAAGUUGUGGACAAAACUCUGCUAAGUGGAGAGGAAAAACAUUCUGCAGCAAAGGAGCAAUGUCUGUUGUCUAUCUUUAGUUUGGCUCUGGAGUGUACAAUGGAAUCACCGGAAAAGAGGAUUAAUGCAAAAGAUAUUGUUACAAGAUUACUCAAGAUAAGAGACACAUUGAGUAAAAGGAUAGGAAAUUUAAGUUAAUUUCGUUUGCUUUCAUUGAUAGUUAAUUCGAAUUCAUGUAAUAAGUCUAAGAAUCUUAUAUCUUCAAAUUCGCAUUUUAAAAUGCACAAAUGUUUGUGUAUACAUAAUUAGUAAUCGAUUCUCAAGCUUUGGACAUUUAAAAGCACUGCUAAAAGACAAAAUUUUAAUUCACUAUUUUUUUGUCUUUUAAUUUUCUUUAAGUUUUAAUGAUUCCGCAUUUUAAAAUCCUGUGGAACGUGCAUGUAAAAUUCUUUUAUCUUUUAGAGGAAAAUGGGCAAGAGAAGAAGAUUUGGCAAAGGAAUUGCAACCGCAUUUGGAGCUAGUUUUAAUUUUGUCUUUUAAUUCUUUUACACUUGGCUUUUGUUAUUGAUGUUAACUUCGAUGUGUGUGCGUGUGCGACUGAAUUCAACUUACAUGCUAUUGAUGCAGCCACCAAAAAGGGGUGGUCCAUCAUCAAUCAACAAGGUUUAUUAUUAUUAAUUUCCAUAUUGAUUUUCUUAAUUAUAAAUAAUACUAAUGCUAUUUCAUAGUUAUAAAUAUAUUAGAAUUAAUCGAAAUCAUUUUUUAGUGUGGCAUGGCUAAAACUACCUUUUUUUUAUUAUAAGUAAUUACUACUUUCACAUUAAGAAAAAUACUCCUAUUUUUAAGGAAAAGUCAAGUACCUGUAGUUGUGAAGACUCGAGCUCACUCCCUUAUGAUAAAUCUUCAUAUUAAUUACGUAAAUAUCCUCUAAAAUUUUAAAUUAGCUAUUCAAAAUUUGAUGUUAUACGGGUAUUUCAUUUAUUUGAGUAGGGGUUAGGGGUCAAUUGGAUACAAAUUCAAAAUUAUCCUUACUUGAGAAGGUGAUAAAAAUUGGGGAUUUAGUUUGGAUGUCAUUAGCUACAAAUAUUAAACUCAUACAUUUAAUUCAAAAUUAGAGGGCUGAUAUAUGCGCAUCAUCGUCCACGUUAUAGUGACACUGCGUCACCAUUCCACAACCUCUCCAAUGAAAAAUUGACAUGCUUCUUGUGCGCAUCUAAUCAGAAUCUUGAAAAUUAAUCACAAAAUUGUACUUUUAUUAUAAAAAGAAUAAAGAAACUCCAAGAAAAAAAAAAGACUUACAUAAAUAGAUUGAAAAAUCUAGAUUUCAAGUUGUCUAUAUUAGCUUGAUAUUUUUAUUAAUAGUCAUCCUCCCAAAAAAAUUCCAUCAAAAUAUAUUUUAAUUUUAUGUUAAUUCAUAAACUUGAAAAAAUCAUUUUAGAAUUAAUUAAAACAUAAUUUAUUGUUGCUCAAAAAAGGUAGAACUUAGUUAUCAGAAAAAAGUGUCUAAAAUAUAUGUUAAAAAAAAAUCAUGGUUGGUUGGACUGAUUGAAUUUUUUUUUCUUUUUUAAGAAUUAAGACAAUUGGAUGGAUUGAGUAAUAAUAAUACAUAUUUAUUUGGCAAAUGGCAGGGAGGCUUUCGUCUGAUGCAGAUUGAUUAGAGAGAAAAUAUAACAAUUUUAAGCUCGUCAGAUUCGAAGCUGCUUACCUGUCGUGUGGGGAUCACUUCCGUGUCUUAUUUUUCUAGAAAAAUCUGGACCAUUGGAUUUACCAUUAGUCAAUAGAGAAAUGUUGAUCUUGAUUCUUGAUCAAGAUCGAAGUUUGAUUCUAACUAACACGAUAUCAGAUUGCGAAGCAAGCAAAUUGAAAGUCACUUGUUCUAUGGAAGAAACACAAGUUCUAAUAAAACAUUCUCAUAGUAAAGUGAAUUACCAUCCAACGAUCCAACUCAUGUUUUCAAAUUGUAAAUUGCAAAUCGUGUGUUUGCUCCAUUACAGAGUUUCUUCAAUCUGAAAUAGCGAAUCAUUUGUGUUCUAGAUUAAUCGUGGGUCUAUAUCCAAAUCUAAAAAUUGACUAACUUGAUUUCUAUUAAAUUCUUAAUCCUAACAAGAAAAAUUGAAGAUUAAAAACGACUAAUUUGGUACCAUACCACUAUUGUAACAUAGGUAGAUCCUCUAUUAAUUGGAGUAAAGAUUGAAUUAUCUCAUUUAUUAAGGUUUAUCAAAAUCUUGUGUCAAAAUCUAUUAAUGAUAUAGGUUCAAGGAUGAAAAAGUCACUGCAUUACUUUUGAGUUCCCAAAUAGAUGAAUGGAUGUUAUUUUUAGAUUCCGGAGAGUCGAAAAUAUUAAGAUAGGUGCUAAAUCGAAUUAAGUUGUAGAUACGAUAGAAAUGGAUUUGGAGAGAUUGGAAUCCUAGGUAAUCCGGUGCACGUUGUCGUGUUAAAUUCUCGUUGACUUCACGUUGACUGAAGCAUUAUUGGAAGAAACAAGUUUAUUGAUGUGAGGCCUUUGAGGUUGUAAGUGUUAAAUAUGAGAAGAAUACCCACACACCCAUUAUCCUAUUACUCUUAUAUCACAUGAAGAGAAUUCAACAUUUGAUUCACACGGAAAAAAUUUGUGAGGAUUGUGAGGGUUGAUGGAAUAUAAUUUAGAUACAAAGUGUUUUACCAGUGCGAUGCUUCGCAAGUGUUCUUGAAUCAAUAUAAACUCACGUUAUUUUCAUAGUGAUUGUUUCAUGUGCACGUGGAUAUAAUCACAUGUCGAGAUUUUUUUCCUUAAAUUAUGGUCUUAUUUAGUAUUAAGGUGUUAUAUCUUUUAAGGUACAAUUAUUGUUGGAAAAAAGUUGCAUCUAUCAAAUAAAAUUAGUACUAUGUGCUAAAUAUAAUUGUUAAAUAAUAAUUUUGACAAAAUUAGUGAAGUUAUAUAGAUUUUUUUUCAUCAUACAAGCAUAAAAUCAAAUCAACUUAACUUCUAAGUUAUAUAUCGGCUACUUAGGGAUGGCAAUGGAUUGGAUCUGACCCAAGAUCCACGUGAUCCAAAUCUAAUCGGAUCGGAUUUGGGUCAGUUUAAAAUGAAUUUGGAUCGGAUUUGGAUAUUGAUGUGCGGAUCUAAGACGGAUCUGGAGCAGGUCUGGAUCUAUCUUAGUAUCUAAAUCCAUAUCCAUAUCCACCCAUCUUUUAAUUUAAUUUUAUUUUAAAAGUUUCUUAACAAUUGUGGAAUUAUAAUGAUAAUGAAUUUUAUUCAUAGCAUAUUAGUGGUAUUUACCAUGCAUUUAAACUCUUUAAAAUUAAAGGUUAGUUUUGUAAAUUUAAAGACUAGCCAGGCCCAAAGCAUGUACAUGCAAUAUUCAAAUUGCAAGCCAAGUAAUACAACCUGGCAAUUUAUUUUAUUAUAUUGGCCAAAUAAUUUUUAAGGAAUAUAGGUAUUCAUAUAUUUUGUCAAAUAUGGUCAUAAUAAAAAUAAUAAAGGACUGAAUAUAAAUCAUAUUUUAUUUAUAUGUCAUUAUCUAAUAUUAUAAGAAUGAGGGUGGGUGUGUUGUAGAUAUUAGAAUGAUGAAUGAGACAAUAGAAUAUUAGAUUGAUCUUACUCCUGCAAUUACUUUUAAAGGAUAUUUUAUUAUCUUAUUUGUUGUUUUGGUGUAAAAGUAUAAGUUACAAUAUUUAUUAUAUUUUUGAGAAAAAUUAUAUAAUUUAUUUGUUAUCAAUACAUUUUAACCUUCAAUUUUCAUUCUAAAAAAUUAUUACUUUUUAAUUGAUGAGUUUUAGAAUUCAUGACAGAUCUAGAGCAGAUUUGGAUUUUAAUUUUUUUUUUCAGAUUUGGAGCAGAUAUAAAUAUUUAUUUCUUUUAUGGAUAUGGAUAUGGAGCGAAAAAUAUAGAUUCAUGAUGGAUCUGGAGCAGAUACGGAUCUUGAUUUUUAUUAUGGAUUUGGAUCUGGAGCAGAGUAGAUCCAACCCAUAUCUGCCCCAUUGCCAUCCCUACGGCUACUGUUAAUCAUAUGUUUUAGUUCUGUAACUUUUAAGUUAUAGUUACCCAAUCUCAAUUCUAAACCAGACCUAUAAAGAUCAAAGAUUUCCUCAUUAAAUUAUAUGUCUUGUGAUUGCUUAUUUAAUUUAUAUUUUUUUUUAUUUAUCUUUAUUAAUUAUAAUCAUCUUUUUAUAAAUUAAAAUUGAAGGAAGUUGAUUGAUGUUGUUGACACACGCACACACGCACACACUCACAAAGAUAUAUUGGAAGUGCUUACGUCGACUCGAAGUUGUUGGGAAUUAAUGCAUGUAUUGAUUUAUUGGGAGUGUUUAAAUGAUUUUUUGAUUUACUUGAUUUAUUGAUUGAAUAUUGUUUGAUUGCUUCAUAUCCAUUCUAGAAAGUUUAUUUCUUUGUGAAAUUUCAACGAAAUAUGUUUUUUUUUUUAAAUAAGGGUGUUCUAAAUAAUUUAAAAAUAUAUAUGGACUAAUUAGAAUUAAUUAUUAGGUAAUUAACUCAAUCUGUAUAGGGUGAAACAACAUUUAUCCUAAUUAUAUCAUGAUAAAUACUUUUCCUAUUAGAAUUAGGAAAUCAUAGGUUUAUUGAAUUGUUUUUUUUUUUCCUUUGCGGAAACGGAUUAGAGAAUUAGAAAACAAUCAUGUUGAUGUCAAAAUCUGAUCUAGUCGGUUAGCGACUUAAUAUCAUAUUACUGCACCAACAUUAAAUUUAUUGGGUGGAGAAUCGACUGGUCAAUUGUCAAGAUGUCCUGCAAUCACUAGCGAUUAACCUACGAAUACCUAAAAUCACAGAAGACGGUAAGAGGCACCGGAAGUUUUUUCGGCGUGAACCUUCCGACGCUCAAGUCAGUUUAUAGGUUUACCAUAAUAAAAAUAAAUAAUUUCUAUUUAAAAAAAAAUAGAGUUCAAAAGCUCAAAAAUAAAACCCAAUCCCAAUAUGAAAAUGAAUUUUUUUUUUUUUUUUUCUAGCUUGGCCGAAUCCUUCUGCCUCCUAAAGAAACAUAACAGAGAAGCAGGUAGCCAUGUUCCCUAGGUAACGCCCCACUCCCCUCUUUUAUUCCUCCCCCUCUCUUCCGUUUCCUUCUUUUGCUCACUAUCCUUCAUAAUUUUUUAUGCUUGUCUUCCCAAAAUAGCCUUUUAAUACACAAGUAAAUGUCUAGGCUUUGGUGAGGAUAGUUUGGUCAUUGCAUUUUACAAGUAAGAUGAGUGGUGGAGAAAAAUGAGGAGUGCACAUAUAACGCUUCAGCAAAUCCCACCAGCAAUUCCAUUUUCUUAAUUAAUUAAUCUCUUCAGCAAAUCCCACCAACUCUUCAGCAAAUCCUAAUGAUAUUAUUAUCAGGUUUAAAACAGUACACAAAUAGUGAAAAGCUAACUAGUCUGUAGAGUAAUUUGCUAAUUGCUAUCUCCUCUCUCCGCGCGCUGAAUAAUUUGUUGCAUGCAAACUUUUUAUUUUAUGCAAAUCGUACGUACUGUAACAUUGGAAUUGAUGUAAAAGCAAAAAUACAAGAAUAUUUAUGUCAAUAAAAAUAGUUUUUUUGGCCUUUUUAAAUAAACACAACGCGAUAUUGCUCUGCUCUACAUUUUUGCUAUCUCUUUAUUCUUCUUUUUUUUUUUGGGCUUCUUAAAGCCUCAAACUUUGAUAACCAAAACUUCAUCGACCUAUGAAAAAAUCUGCAGAUUAGUUUUUAUUAUCGGAAUAAUCAUUUGAGAAUACUAAAACAAAAUAUAAAUAAGAAAAUAGGAGGUUAAAUUAGAGGGGGGAAAAAAGGUAUGUUGGAUAGAUUACUAUAGUUUAAGAAAAAAAAAUCCAAUUGGGAAUUUUUUUCUUUAAUUUUUGUUUUACUUGAUUGAGAUUUCUCCUUGGUCCUUACAGUUUUAAGUUUGGAUGCCGUAGGGUUAGUAAUUUAGUACUUCCUUUGCAAGCUGAGUGCAAGAAUGAAAAUCUUUAAAGAAAUAAAAAAAAAAAAAAAAAGCAUACCAAUAGGUAAUUAUAAAUAACCAUACAUAAACAUAAACAAAAUGAGGUAAUUAUUAAUAUUAUUUUUUGUUUUAUUUCUUACUUGUCUAUUUUAUUUGCUGCUUGAUAACCCGUAAAUACUAAUCUAGUACUGCUAAUUUCAGACACAAAAUUUUUAACUCUAGGCUGCAGUUUUACUCAAAAUGAUGACCACUGGCUUCGCACCAUUUAACCGGCAUACAUUUCUACAAAUUGAACAAGGCUAUUGAUUUUCAUUAUUAUUUUUUAUUUUUUUAUAAAUUACUAUUUUAAUUUUCACUUUUCAUUGGGUUGUUUAACGGAUUAGUGAAGUUGGUGGUCGUGAUGCACUCACAAGGUACAAUUUUAUUUUAUAAUUUCAAAUUUGUAUUUUAAAAUGCAGGUACAUUAUGUAUACAUAAUUAUUGAUUUUCGUAUGUGGGUGUUUUGAAAUAUUGCUAAAAGACCAAACUUUAAUAAACUAUUUUUCAUCUUUUUUUUUUCCUAAAGUUUAAGUGAUAUCCGCAUUUUAAAUUCAUGUGGAACAAAAGCUAAUGUAUGCACAAAAUCCUUUUAUUUUUUCCGAGAAAAAUGGUUAAGAGAAGAAGAUUUUUCUCUUGAAAAAGAAAAACUAAUACGAUGCAAGCAUAGGAAAGAGGUCAGUGUUUUGGAUUAGAAUUUAGUAUUGAGCUGAAUUUUAUACUAAACUCUUUUAUAGUACUGCGAUUAAUAAACUCAUGAUUUGCUUUUGCUUUUACCUCAAGUGAAAGAAAGAGGAAACCUUUUGUUUUUUGUUUGAUUCUUGACUAUAGGUGUUACCUAUAUAGAGAGUUGAGGUAGCUGCCUUAAGUGAUGGUGAUAAAAAGAUUAAGCAGCGCACACAAUCUUACUGUCGUCCAGACCAUCCAGCUGUGAUGACUCUUGUUUUUUGGUUACAUUAGCUUUAGUGGAACGGAGGGCCAAUUUAACAAAGACUAGAUUUGGUGGCUUACUAUAAUGCUUAUUCUCAGGGAAUCUAAUGUUAUAAGAUGAUUUAAUGAUCUUCUAUGAUUGUGAGUAGUAUAGUAUAAUUGAAAAGAGCUUGGGCUCCUAUGAUGAAUAUUUAAUAGUAACACAGUACUGUUAUUGAAAAAAACACAGUUACAAUAAACUCUUCAUUUAUUCAUUGUGGAGAUUGAAUGGCAAACAGAGAAUAAAAUGAAGCAGAGGAAUCUCAUUGCCAGUAAAAUUGACCCUCUUUAAUGUUAUAUGGCACAGGUGUGUGUACAGCAAGAUCAAGUUACUUGCAGUUUUUAUUGUAAAAUAUAUAGGUUAUGACCAUGAUCAUUGUAGUUAGGUUUUGAUGAUUUUAGAUGCUUUUUUUAUUUUUUUUAAAAUUGUGACACCUUUGAUUUAUGGUAGUUUUGCAGAAGAAAAAAAUAUAUAUAAAAAUUAGGAGGGAUGAGUUAACUAACGAUUGCAAUCAUUACAGUAAUGUUGAUGAGUGAUACAUCAUUUGAAAUUUACUUGUCAGUUGCUGAAAUGAUGAAAAAAAACAGUAAACAAUAGCAGUAAUAUUUUUUGGCAAUAUAAAAAAUUAUUGCGGUUAUUUUUUGGCAAUAUAAAAAAAUUUUAGCAAAUAAAAAUUAAUUUUUUUCCGAUUAACUAAAAAAUUAAUUAAAAACUUCUGCGAUGGCAUUUUUUAUGGGUGCAUAUACCCUCCCUUUAAAAGAAAAAAUAAUAAUUAAUACUUAAUAUAGUAUUAAAUACGAAAAUAUCAAUAUUUGACUACACAAAUUUAAUAGUCUUGUGUAAUUAGUGAGUGAGAGAUUGGGUGUAUUGGAGUUUUGGGUAGUGAGCCAAAAUAUUACAAUACUUGUAAUCUUUAUUUCACUAGUGAAAUAUUUUCCUUCUGUUUUUGCCCGUGGACGUAGGCUAAAAGCCGAACCACGUAAUUUCUGGUGUCCUCUAUUGUACUUGUUCUUUAUUUGCUUCCAAUUUUAUUUUAACUGCGCGUCUGCUUCACCCAUCAAUUUCCUAACAAAUCUUGAUCCCAUGCACACGCAAAUAUGUUAAUUUCUAUACGCUUCACUUACCUGUAGAAUCAAUUAUCUAAAAUGCAAGUUUGUGGCCACAAAAAAAGCCAAAGAAAGAAGAUAAUAACAAUUGACUUGUAUAUUAUACUCAUACAAUCCACUCGACAUAAUGAUAUCAUUUUAAUAAGGCAAUGGCUGAUGAUCUCCAUUGAAAAACUAAUUCAAUUUUUUUGCUUCAUUUAACUUUUUGGUUGUUGAAAAUAACCUUAAUUAUCAAAUAAUUGGAGAAAGAGUAAAGAACAUUUAACAAAUUUAUGUGCAAAAAAAAAAAAAAAGAAGUUGAAGAGAAAGGGUGCUUGCAGAAGUGGGUGUCAAAGAAACAUCGGUCCAUAAGAAUUAUUGCGGUUAUUUUUUGGCAAUAUAAAAUAUUUAUAGCAAGUAAAAAUUAAAUUUUUUCCGAUUUACUAAAAAAUUAACUAAAAACUUCUGCCACAACAUUUUUUAUGGGUACAUAUACCCUCCCUUUAAAAAAAAAAUAAUAAUUAAUGCUUAAUAUAGUAUUAAAUACCAAAAUAUCAAUAUUUGGCUACUCAAAUUUAUAUCAUUAGGUCCUUAAAAUUAAAAAUUGAUGAUACAAAAGGAAAUAUAUAUAAAUUUCAUUCUCAUGGAAAGGAUUCUCUUAUAAUCUUAUAAUAUUUGAGUUUUGAAAUUUUUUGAAGCAAAUGUAAUUUUAUUUGUGUACAAUCAAUAUUUACUUAUUUAUUAUAUUUUAAUUUGUUAACUAUCAAUCAUUUAAGUAUAUUUAGUCAGAAAAAUUAUAUCAAGAGAGAAUCCUAAUUUCACGCAAACACAAAUACAAGAUAAAUAUGUCAAUUUCUAUACUAUCCACUUUCCUGUAGAAUCAAUUAUCUAAAAUGCAAGUUUGUGGCUACCGAAAACUCGCCAAAGAAAGAAGAUAAUAACAAUUGAGCAUUGAUAGCAAAACUAAUGCAUCAUUUUCUUCUUGACUUGAUGAGAUGGUGCCAUUACAAAAAAAAAAGUACCUUAAUUGACGGGCACUGAGUGAUGUGAAUACUACCAGCCAGUUCAUCUCUUCCAGUCUUGCUUAAUCACAAUCACAAACACCACGAGAUUGACAUUUGCAUUAUAUAUAUCUUCAGCAAUCGAAACACCUUGCAUUACCAAAUUAACCGGUAACAAACAAAGCAAUCUUUCAUGGAGAGAAACUUUAGUCUCAGUAUGAUCACUUUGUCAUUAACCCACUACCUGCUUCUUUGCUUGGUUGUUGCAGCAGCAGCAGCCGCAAGCAACAAUAUUACCACAGACCAACAAGCUCUUCUUGCCCUGAAAGAUCAUAUAACUUAUGAUCCAACCAACCUUUUUGCCCAUAAUUGGACCUCGAAUACCUCUGUUUGUACCUGGAUUGGCAUCACUUGUGAUGUCAAUAGCCAUAGAGUCACAGCCUUAGAUAUUUCUCAAUUCAAUCUACAAGGCACCAUCCCUCCUCAACUUGGAAACCUUUCUUCACUUACAACGCUUAAUCUUAGUCAUAACAAGCUUUCUGGAGACGUUCCAUCCUCCAUCUACACCAUGCAUUCGCUAAAAUUUCUUGACUUCACUGAUAACCAGCUCUCUGGUUCAGUGUCUUCCUUCGUCUUCAACAUGUCUUCAAUAUUAGAAAUUCUUUUGACCAAUAACAGAUUUUCUGGUGAGCUUCCGAAAAAUAUUUGCAACUAUCUUCCUUAUUUGAAAGCCCUUUUCUUAAACAAAAACAUGUUUCAUGGCAAAAUUCCUUCUGCUUUAUCAAAGUGCAAACAACUGCAAAAAUUAAAUUUGCAGUUCAAUAAUUUAUCCGGUGCAAUACCGAAAGAAAUCGGCAACUUGACUAUGCUCAAAGGCAUAUAUCUCGAAUACAACAAACUCCACGGUAUGUUCAUAAUACUAUGUAAAUGUUUUAAUUUCUCAAUUGUUAUUUUCUUGAAUACUUUAGACAAGAUCUUGUAAGGGAGAUAUUUUUGGAUCUGUGUUAAUUUGCCAGGUGAGAUACCCCACGAAAUCGCUAAUCUUCGAAAUCUAGAGGAUUUAUUGCUUGGAAUGAACAACCUAGUUGGUGUGUUACCAGCUCCAAUCUUCAACAUGUCAACACUGAAAUUAUUUGACCUCAUAAAUAACUCUCUCUCCGGAAGUCUUCCAUCAAGAAUAGACCUUUCACUUCCAACUGUUGAGUUUUUUGGCUUGGCACUUAAUAGAUUUUCUGGAACCAUUCCUAGUUCCAUCACCAAUGCUUCUAAGCUCACCGUUCUAGCGUUGGGAGAGAACACAUUUUCGGGCUUCAUUCCAAACACAAUUGGUAAUUUAAGAAACCUUGAGUGGCUCAGCUUGGAGAAUAAUUACUUGAAAUCUUCAACCUCAAAAUUGAGCUUUCUUUCCUCUUUGGCAAAUUGCAAGAAAUUAAGAUUCUUAAACUUAGCAGGCAAUCCACUUGACGGCUUCCUUCCAAGUUCAAUAGGUAAUCUUUCUGUGUCUUUGGAAACACUUUUCAUCGGCAAUUGCAGUAUUAGUGGCAACAUUCCUCAAGCAAUUAGCAAUUUAAGCAACUUGUUGACCUUAGUAUUAGAAGGCAAUAAAUUGACUGGACCAAUUCCAAUUACAUUUGGCCGACUACAGAAACUCCAAGGCUUAGAUCUUGCAUUCAAUAAGUUGGUAGGUUCAUUCCCAGAUGAGCUUUGCCAUCUAGCAAGGCUGGAUCAAUUGGUCUUAUUUGGCAAUAAGCUUUCAGGAUCUAUACCUUCAUGCCUAAGUAAUCUCACUUCUCUAAGAUCUCUCUACUUAGGGUCCAAUAGGUUAACUUCUGUUAUUCCCUCAACUUUCUGGAGCCUAAAAUACAUCUUGUUCUUUGACUUUUCAUCAAAUUUCUUGGUUGGUACUCUUUCUUUCGACAUAGGUAAUUUGAAGGUGCUUCUAGGAAUAAAUUUAUCAGAAAAUAACUUAUCGGGUGAUAUGCCAGCCACAAUUGGAGGACUGAAAGAUCUUCAAUUUAUGGACCUAGCAUUUAAUAGAUUGGAAGGCCCAAUUCCUGAAUCAUUUGGUGACUUGACAAGUUUGGAGGUUUUGAAUUUGUCAAAAAAUAAAAUCUCUGGGUCUAUUCCAACAUCCAUGGAGAAACUCAUUUACCUUCGAGAGUUAAAUCUCUCUUUCAAUAAACUUGAAGGUGAGAUUCCUAGUGGAGGAAUUUUUACCAACUUCACAGCUGAGUCAUUUAUGGGAAAUGAGUUAUUGUGUGGUUUACCAAAUCUUCAAGUCCAACCAUGCAAACUUAGCAAGCCUAGGACAGAACAUAAAUCAAGGAAAAAGAUACUUCUCAUUGUGAUUGUUUUGCCAUUGAGUAUUGCUCUAACGAUAGCAAUCACUCUAGCUCUCAAAUCUAAGCUGAUCGAAUGUAGAAAAAGAGGCACAGAGUUAUCAAAUGAUAGUAUCUUGUCAUCAGAAGCAACACUAAGAAGAUUUUUAUACUUAGAACUUUUACAAGCAACAGAUAAUUUUGCUGAAAACAACAUAAUUGGCAGAGGAGGUUUUGGUUCCGUUUAUGGAGCAAGACUUGAAGAUGGGAUGAAGAUUGCAAUAAAAGUGUUUCACCAGCAAUGUGCAAGCGCAUUGAAGAGUUUUGAGGCUGAAUGUGAAGUGUUAAAAAAUAUUCACCAUCGAAACCUUAUCAAAGUUAUCAGCAGUUGCUCGAACGAUGACUUCAAAGCAUUAGUCCUAGAAUACAUGUCCAACGGGAGCUUGGAGGAUUGGCUGCAUUCUAGCAAUUAUGUGCUGAAUAUAUUUCAGAGGUUGAACAUAAUGAUUGACGUUGCAUCAGCUUUAGAAUAUCUCCACUUCGAUCAUUCAACUGCUAUUAUUCAUUGUGACUUAAAGCCUAGUAAUGUAUUGUUGGACGAAAAUAUGGUUGCUCAUUUGAGUGAUUUUGGCAUAGCAAAGCUUUUAAGUGGAGAGGAUGAGUCUACGAUACGAACAAAAACCCUUGCCACUCUAGGUUAUAUGGCACCAGGUUUGCUUCAAACAACUUUCGUUUUUAGUUCAUUUUAAAUUUUCCAACUUAUUGAUUUUUACAAUCCUCACAUCAAAAUGUUAUUGAUUAUUUAUCUAAUUGUGAAAUUAAUUUGAUUCAUAGAGUAUGGCAUAGGAGGAGAAGUAUCUACAAAAAGUGAUGUUUAUAGCUAUGGGAUUAUGUUGAUGGAAACUUUUACCAAGAAAAAACCCACAGAUGAAAUUUUUGUUGGAGAAUUGAGCUUAAAGCGUUGGGUUAAUGACUUGCUUCCUAAUUCAUUAGUGGAAGUUGUGGACAAAACUCUGCUAAGUGGAGAGGAAAAACAUUCUGCAGCAAAGGAGCAAUGUCUGUUGUCUAUCUUUAGUUUGGCUCUGGAGUGUACAAUGGAAUCACCGGAAAAGAGGAUUAAUGCAAAAGAUAUUGUUACCGGAUUACUCAAGAUAAGAGACACAUUGAGUAAAAGGAUAGGAAAUUUAAGUUAAUUUCGUUUGCUUUCAUUGAUAGUUAAUUCGAAUUCAUGUAAUAAGUGUAAGAACCUUAUAUCUUUUACUUUGAUUUUUUUUUUCUUGAGAAAACUGUUGUAGUCAUCUUGUUUCCAUGGGCGGAGUUGAUUUAGUUCUUCCAAGAAAUGCUACUGAUGACAUUUGUUUUAUACUUUCUCUUUUUUUUUGCAUGUGUUUAGGUAGAAUAGUGGUUUGGUUGCACUCUAAGAAGUCUAACUACACUAAAAGAAUAUGAUUUAAUUUAUUAAACAAAACUUCAAGUUCAAGAAAAGUAUCUCAUUGCCCCCAAUGCUUUGGACACCUAUUGGUAGGUUUGUACGUGUCCUCAACUUUUUUUUGGAGCACAAAAUUCGAGUCCCAUAAAGGCUCAAACAUUCCUUUCCUUCAUCCCGAGGGCGCCUUCUGUCCUCUGUUUUCUGUUUCCACACACAAAUAGCAAAAAGAAAUUAGAAUGACAACUGGGACAUAUAUAAGAGUGAAAUAAUUAAAAAAAUUAUGCUUUUUUGUCUGUCGUGUUAAAAUCGUAAGUACCGAAGUACUGUGAAAGAGAUUAAUUUACAGAAACUGAAGCCAAGGGUUCAAAAAAAACUAUUGAUGUAGGUAGAAUGCAAUGUCAUAUUCAUACAGAGAUGAAGUAUAUUAUUUACGGCUGGUAAGGACUAAGAAUUGAUGUAGCUAGAAUGCAAAGAUGAUGAGGUAUGUUGUACACUAUUGUUUUUAUUCUACAAUCAAUCUUGACCCCUGAUGCUUGGCUCUCAAUCUUGUCCAUUGAUCUUCUCUGAUUUUGGAGACUUGAAGACCUUUCAGUAUCAUGCCUUGUUGUUGGUGUCUUCCGUGCUGUAGAAUUCAUAUACAAGUUUUCCCGCCGACUUGCCAAGUAUUUGUUCAUUGAUGCAUUUUAUCAAACAGUUGGCCUGCUCAGAGCAAACAGCUCCUGUUUUAACUCCCCCUCCGUAGCUCAACUAUCUGGGAAGACAAUUAAUUGAGCUUGUUUCACAAUUAUAUGAAUCUGAAAGUUCAAUUAUAUCCUCUAAUGGAGAGAACUCAUUGCCUCAGUAUGAUCACUGUGUCAUCAACCCACUCCCCGCUUCUUUGCUUGGUUGUUGCAGCAAGCAACAAUUUUACCACAGAUCAACAAUAGUUUGUCCAUUUGUUCCAGUGAGGUCGUCAUUAAAAAUUAAUUUUCAUAUUGAUUUUCUUAAUUAUAAAUAAUACUAAUGAUAUUUCAUAGUUAUAAAUAUAUUAGAAUUAAUCGAAAUCAUUUUUUAGUGCGGCAUGGCUAAAACUACCUUUUUUUUUUUUAAGUAAUUACUACUUCAAGGAAAAUACUCCUAUUUUCAAGGAAAAGUCAAGUACCCGUAGUUGUGAAGACUCGAGCUCACCCUCUUAUGAUAAAUCUUCUUAUCAAUUACAUAAAUAUCCUCUAAAUUUUUAGUUAACUAUUCAAAAUUCGAUGUUAUACGGGUAUUUCAUUUAUUUGAGUAGGGGUUCGGGGUCAAUUGGAUACAAAUUCAAAAUUAUCCUUACUUGAGAAGGUGAUAAAAAUUGGGGAUUUAGUUUGGAUGCAUUAGCUACAAAUAUUAAACUCAUACAUCUAAUUCAAAAUUAGAGGGCUGAUAUAUGUGCAUCCUCGUGCACAUUAUAGUGACACGUGUCACCAUCCUACAACCUAUCCAAUGAAAAAUUGACAUGCAUCUUGUGCGCUUCUGAUCAAAAUCCUGAAAAUUAAUCACAAAGUUAUACUUUUAUUAUAAAAAGAAUAAAGAAACUCCAAAAAAAAAAAAAGACUUACAUAUAUAAAUAGUUUGAAUAAUCUAGAUUCCAAGUUGUCUAUAUUAGCUUGAUCUUUUUAUAAAUAGUCAUCUUCGAAAAAAAAUUCCACCAACAUAUAUUUUAAUUUUAUGUUAAUUAAUAAAUAGAAAAAAAUCAUUUUAGAAUUAAUUAAAACAUUAUUUAUUGUUGCCAAAAAAAGGAAGAAUUUAGUGAUAAGAAAAAAGUGUCUCAAAUAUACGUUAAAAAAAUUAAUCAUGGUGGGUUCGAUUGAUUGAAUUUUUUUUUUUAAUCUUUUUCUUUUUUAAGAAUUAAGACAAUUGGAUUGAUUGAGUAAUAAUAAAAUAUAUUUAUUUGGCAAAUGGCAGGUAGGCUUUCUUCUGAUGCAGAUUGAUUAUAGAGAAUAUACAACAAUUUUAAGCUCGUCAGAUUCGGAACCUGCUUAUCUGUCGUGUGGGGAUCACUUCCGUGUCUUAUUUUUCUAGAAAAAUCUGGACCAUUAGGCAGUAGAGAAAUGUUGAUCUUGAUUCCUGAUCAGGAUCGAAGUUUGAUUCUAUCUAACAUGAUAUCAGAUUGCGAAGCAGGCUAGUAUGUAAAUUUCUUUUAUCUUUUAGAGGAAAAUGGGCAAGAGAAGAAGAUUUGGCAAAGGAAUUGCAACCGCAUUUCUAGUAUGUUCUGAUCAGAGAAGCGAAAUCCAUCACGGUCUUUUAUCUUUACCCAUGUGGAGAAAUCAAGGGAUUUCGAAUCAGAGAAGCGAUGGGAUUUAGUUCUGAUCUGGGAUUUUGGAGACUUAGGGAGUGUGCGGUCUUGGACCAACAUUGAUGACGAUGACGCUUCAAAUUCAAUGACUUGAAAGCAGAAAACAAAGACAGACAAAAACAGACAUGCACUACAGCAAGAAAGAUUGACUGAAUCUUGGGUUACUGUGUCUGUGGUCUCAAAUGAAACACAAGUGGGAAGCCUUGCUGCAGUUUCAGCUUUGGUUUGUGUUUGAAGUUUUGAAUGUAAAAAGAGAACCGAGCAUGUGGUUGCCGACAAGAAUGGCCUGAGGUUUCUUAAGCUUCAUUGUAAUGUUACAACUGCUACUAAUUUGGUGGGGUGGGAGGUCGCUGGGUCGCUGUCAGUCCAUUUGCUUCUUUUCUUUCUUUUUGUUAUUUGUUGAGUUUUUUCCAUUUCUACUUUUCUUAAUAUAUAAAUUAUCAUUUUUUUAACAUGCAAAAUAUAUAGAACAUUUUAUGAGUUUAUAAAUAAAAAUUAUAUUAUGGGAUAAUAGUGAAUGAGUUCCUGGUGCUUUGGAGUUCUUUAAAUUAAGGGCCCAGUUUGUCCAUUUGUUUUAGUUAGGUCCUUCUUAAAAAUUGAUUUUCUUAAUUAUAACUAAUACUAAUGAUAUUUCAUAGUUAUAAAUAUAUUAGAAUUAAUCCAAAAUAUUUUUUAGCGUGGCAUGGCUAAAACUACCUUUUUCUAUAAGUAAUCACUACUUUUGCAUUAAGGAAAAUAUUCCUAUUUAAAAAAAAAUUGAAUAUCUAUAGUUGUGAGGACUCGAACUCACUCGCUUAUGAUAAAUCUUUGUUGAUGCGAGAUUCUGGUUACCCACUCGACCACGUCCAGGAUCUCUGCUCAAUCAACUAACUCGACCACGAUCAGGAUCUCUCCUCGUAUGCUUUCUUCUUCAAAAAUUCCUGCGUACACAGAAACAAGUCAGAGCACGCCAGUUGUUUUCCCGGCGUAAACCCUCCGACGCUCAAGUCAGAUAUGAAGGUUUUGUGUUCCUGGGAACGUUAGCCACUAGUCUUAAGCUUUGCUUUUGGUAUCGAUUGCUGAAUGCUCUCUUUAUCUCAAUUUCCGUAUUAAAAGUUAACCCUUUUACCUUCGUUGGCUGCCUUUUUAUAGGCUCCACCUGAGUCCAGAUCCUCCCCUCCAUUCACGCCCGUUACCUUCCCACCUCUCGAAAGUGGAUGCUUUGUUUCCGUAAUCGUGGGUGAUUGCAUGGCCUUCGUGCCUCGAUUCUCAGGCUGGAGAGUACGUCUCGCCAACUGUCGUUGACUGGGUCUCCUCGCCUCAAACCUUAGCAGGAAUGGCUUUAUGCUUCUAACAAGAGACCGGCUUCGCGGAUGGCGUAUUCAUGGACGAGCAGAUAUUCCUGCUUAUGUUCCAAUGCUACCAGACCUCUGCUCAUCACGGCUGGUCUCGUCGAAGUACAUCCCCCAAACACCGGUCCCCCAGUUUCUGGUGUUGGGUAACAUAGUGAGCCAACAGUAGAAACUCGACAGUUCUUGCUCGCGCGAGAUAGGAAAAGACUGCCAAGAGUCGUGUCGCAUUUAAUGGCGGAUGAGGUGAUGUGGCAGAAAUCUACCCCUCCAUUUGAAUUUCAAACCGACGGUUACGAAACCCUAGGGAUUUGUGCCGUUAAAUGCCGGCAGCCCAAGAGUUUGUUCUUCAUUAGGAAAACCCAAAACCCCCAAAAGAGGAACUCGUCUUUUACUCCGUUUCUGUCUCUCCUGCGAAUGAGUCCUUCCUCUCCCUCGGCGUAAAAGCUUCCUUCCUUGUCUCUCUCCGACUAAGUCACAACUUCAGGUACUAUUUCUUUUUUCCUCGGUCGUGGAUAGUUGUAAACAAUUUCUUUUACAUUUUGCUUGGGUAGUGUUUGGUGGUGCAGUUCUGGUUAUAGUUUAGGGAAUGUCGAAAGGUAAGGAGAAAGUCAUUGAGAUUGAUGACGACGAGUUAGACUUCUUGCCUAGUCUGCUCGCCGAUUCUGCUUUCGACACCGGGAUCCCCUUAGAACCCGUUAGACCUAAUGUUGCGACUAGUGCUAGGAGGAUGUCCCCCCAAGUAACCUCCUCAACUGGAAAUAGCGACGACGAGGGUUCUUCUGGUUCGGAAGACACUUUGAGUGAAGAUCAGGGAAAUGAUUCUGGUGAGAUGUCCUCACCAGGAACAUCGUGACCAGAUAGGAGGGGCAUAGUAGGAGGUAGAGCUCUAUCACAGAAUUACACUAUUGAUUUUAUGACGUGCACGACCACAGUAGAUGAGCUAGUUAGUCUCCGGGCUAGAUACGGCAUCCCUGAUGAAAUUUCCCUUAGGAUCCCAGGAAAAAAAGAUACCCCCAGCCGGCCUCCUAGGGGAUAUAUUACUCUGUUUCUAGAGAGUUUUAAACUUGGGCUAAGGUACCCCAUACAACCCUACUUUGCCCGAAUACUCAAUGGGUUGAAUUUAGCUCCUGGUCAACUGAACCCCAAUGGGUGGUGAGUACUUUCUGGUCUGUUCAUAUUGUGAGACAGAUGUUGCCAAAGCGAGCCAACAAUUGACGAGGUGAAGCACCUGUACCAGCUAAAGAGCAGCCCCAAAGAUGUCGGCUGGUAUUACUUCCAGUCUAGUACCAAGACCAGGAAACCCAUAACCGAUCUUCCAACUGGUGGUGGUAGGACUUGGAAGAAAAAAUUCUUUUUUGCUGGGGGUCCCUGGGGUCAAGUUGCACAGAUUGACGAGAAGGAUUACCGUGUCCCACCUCAUUUCGUGGUCCCAGGUUGCCUACUCGCUUAAGAUGUUUUGUCUCCAUAGUCGUUCUCAUUUUGCUGAUUUGUUUCUAAUCCAAAAUCUGUUCGCAUUGCAGGUUCCUGGGGUGUGCACUACCAGCUUAAACCCGAGCCGCUCAAGCGAGUCGAAGCUGUACUGGCCAAUUUCUACACGAACCGAGAGCUGCUAACUACUUUCAAUUUGGUCGAAUCUCGUUUGGUGUCUACCGGCCAUAAAAUGGAGGAUGCUGUGAUCGGGGCUCUGACUCGGAAACGUCCCCAACCUCAUGCUACCAAGCAGGACCAGAAUAAAUAUGCUCCCACUGCGAAGCGGGUGAACAUUGUGCAGCAGGUUCCUCCCUUGAAGACCCUACCACCUCCUUCUGCCAAAGUCGGAGAAACUAGCGGAGCAGCCACCGAUCCCGCUUCCUCUUAUCCUCCAGUCGGGCCGAGAUCUCGUUUAUCUGACAAUCGAGCAAAACAUUUGGUCCCCUAUAUCAACGAGUUCUCUAAACUCGUGAGCAAGAGGGACCUAGAGGACUUUGACGACAGCACCUUGGGUGAGCUGGUGGGGGCCAUGCAAUAUAGCGCUUUCCAUCUCGACUGUAUGGCCACUUACUACAAGGCCAAGGUUGGUCGUUAUGACCGAAAGAUGAAGGAGGACAUUCAAUCGGCCAUGAUCAAAGCUGAUGCUGCCGAGAAGAAAGCAGGGGACUUGAAUCUCGAGAAUUUGAAGUUGAUAGAGCGAGAAUCUCUUGCUCAAGCAAAAGCCAUUACUCUCGAGGAUGAGCUAGCUAAGGUCAAGGAGGAUCUGCAAAGACAGCAGGCUAUGUACGAGGCCCAGCUCGAAUCUCUUCGGGAUUCCCACAAGGUUUAGGUCGAGAACCUGGAGAAGGAAGCUGAUAAUCAAUAUGACCAGGGGCUUCAGCACUCCUAUCAUUGCAUCAUGGCCGUCCUUGGGAAGCAGCAUCCGGAUAUGAAAAUGGACGAGCUUGCUACUGGUGUUGCUCAGCAUAUGGAUGAGGAGGCAGCAAAAGAGGACGCCGAAGAGGUGGAGCCAACUGAGGUUGAGGAGGGAAACACUCCUCCUCGUGCAAUCCUUGCUGAUGUCGCUGAGGCGAGUACCCCCCGAAUGCAACUGGUGAUACCCCCUGCCCCUGAGGUGGACCAGCCAACCAAGGCUGCUCGGCUUACUGACCCGCCGUCCUCUUGAUUGUAUUUUGUGUUGUAGUUGCUUUCUUGAAACGCUAUAUGUUAUGACUAGCAGUUUUUUCUGGUUGUUGAUUAAUAAAUAAGAAUGUUCUCAUUUGCUUUCUCGUCGUAAAUCAUUUUAAGUUUGAGGGUCUACUUGCCUUCUCUUGUACUAGCAGUUCUUGACACGCUUGGCUUCUGGUCUCGCCAUAGAACAUGCUUGUGACUUGGUGAGCCUUUGCAUGCCUUAGAAAUUUUUUCAAUGUUGGGAUUCUGCUCGCCUUCGCUUGGUCGAGCAGAUCUUGGCACGCUUGGCUUUUGGUCUCGCCAUAAAAACAGGCUUUGAAAAUUGGUGAGCCUUUGCAUGCCUUAGAAAUUUUUUCAAUGCUUGGGAUUUUGCUCGCCGUCGCUUGGUCGAGCAGAUCCUGGCACGCUUAGCUUUUGGUCUCGCCAUAAAAUAGGCUUUGAGACUUGGUGAGCCUUUGUAUGCCUUCGAAAUUUUUUCAAUGAUAGGGAUUCUGCUCGUCGUCGCUUGGUCGAGCAGAUCCUGGCACACUUGGCUUCUAGUCUCGCCAUAAAACAGGCUUUGAGACUUGGUGAGCCUUUGCAUGCCUUAGAAAUUUUUUCAAUGCUUGGGAUUCUGCUCGCCGUUGCUUGGUUGAGCAGAUCCUGGCACGCUUGGUUUCUGGUCUCGCCAUAAAACAGGUUUUGAGACUUGGUGAGCCUUUGCAUGCCUUAGAAAUUUUUUGCACAGUUACAAGUGAAUGAAAUUCCUCGACGUUUCAUUAAUUACAGAAUUCAACUUACAUAGGAAUGCAUAGCAACGAGAACAAAUUAAAGUAAUUUUUGAACAUGAGCAAGUCUUACUGGAAAUAUUUCCUGAGGUGCGCUGCGUUCCAUAGGCGUUUCACCUCGUGGCCAUCCGUGCGAACAAGCUUGUAAGCUCCGAGUCCCACUAUCUGCUUGACCCUGUAUAGCCCCUGCCAAUUCGGUCCAAGCACUCCUUGAGUCGAGUCUUUGGUGUUCUGAUUCACUCUCCUUAGCACCCAAUCUCCGACCCUAAACUGCCGUACAUUCACCUUCUGGUUAUAAUACCGAGCAACCCUCUGCUGGUAAAUGGCUAAUCGCUUCGAUGCUUGCUCCCUCUUCUCUACAAGCAAAUUCAGAUUCAAGCACAUCUGCUCGUUGUUAUCUUGCUCAUUGAAAUGAUCUGUCCGGUGCGUGGUCGUUCCUAUCUCGGCUGGUACGACCGCUUCAUGUCCGAAGGCCAAGGCGAACGGUGUUUCUCCAGUUGCUGUUUUGUAGGUUGUCCUGUAUGCCCAUAAAACACAUGAUAGCUCAUCAACCCAUGCUCCAUUUUUUGCUCCAAGCCUGGUUUUCAAAAGCCUCUUGAUCGUCUUGUUGGCUGCUUCUACUUGUCCAUUGGAUUGAGGGUGAGCAAGCGAGCAGUACUUCAACUCUAUCCCGAGGUUCUGGCAGAAAUCCCUGAAACUGUGAUUAUCGAACUGCCUGCCAUUAUCCAUUACCAAGGCAUAGGGGAUCCCGUACCGACAGACCAGGUUUCUCCAUACGAAGUCUGUUGUCUUCUUCUCUGUGAUCUUGCUGAGGGCUUCUACUUCUAUCCACUUCAUGAAGUAGUCUAUUGCUACUAUUCCAUGUGUUGUUGCUCCUCGUCCCCUUGGCAACGGCCCGAUCAGAUCAAUUCCCCACUGAGCAAAUGGCCAAGGGGAGGCUAUAGAGGUGAGCUUCUCUGGUGUUUGGCUGGAGAAACUUGCAAAACUCUGGCAGCUUAAGCAGCUCCUGGUCUUCUCCUGCGCAUCCUGGUGCAUUGUCGGCCAGAAAUAUCCCUGCCUUAGAACCUUAUGGGCAAGGGACCUCCCACCAGAAUGGUUUCCGCAAAUUCCUUCAUGUACUUCUCUCAGUACGUAGUCUGCGUUGUCCUCAUCUAAGCACCGAAGGAACGUGAGUGUAUAUCCUCGCCGAUAUAGCACCCCAUCAAUCAUUGUGUACCUUGAGUCUUGGGCUCUAAUCUUCCGAGCUCGUAGCUUAUCUGGUGGUAACACCCCGUCUCUGAUAUAUGAAAUUAUCGGAUCCAUCCACGAGCCUUUUUGUUCUAUCUGCAUCACCUUCAAAUUCUGCUCGAUGCUAGGGUUGGUUUUCACUUCCAAAGGGACCGUCUUAGGCAUUUUAGGGUCUGCUACAACUGUCAUCCUGGCCAGAAUAUCGGCUCGACUAUUUUGUUCCCUUGGGAUUUGUAUCAACUUAACCGCUUCGAACUUCCUCAUCAUCUGCCUGACUUUCUUCAAGUACUGCUCCAUCUUCUCAUCUCUCGGUUGAAAACUUUCACUGACAUGAUUUGCGACCAGCUGAGAAUAAGUUCUGAUCUUCACCCUAUCUGCUUUCAUUGCCUUAGCCAAUUCCAAACCUGCUAUCAAGGCUUCGUAUUCUGCCUGGUUAUUUGUGGCUGUGAACUCUAACUUUACAGCAUAAGAAAUCUCCUCCCCCUCUGGGUCUUUUAAGACAAUUUCUGCUCCUGAUCCUUGCUCACCUGAUGACCCAUCUACAGACAUCUGCCAUACUCGAGCUUUGCUGCUAUCUGUAGCGGUGUCCAGUUGGUCCAAACAUACUUCAAGCUCCGCGAAUUCUGCUAUGAAAUCGGCCGUUGCCUGAGCCUUUAUUGCUGCUCGGGGUUUGUAAUCUAUGUCGAACUCGCUAAGCUCUAUAGCCCACUUCACGAGCCGACCAGAAGCAUCUGGCUUGUGCAGAGUUUGACGCAAUGGCUGGUUUGUUAUUACCGUGACGGGGAAUGCUUGAAAGUACGGCCUCAGCUUCCGAGCAGCAACCACAAGGGCGAGUGUCCAUUUCUCCACCAAUGGGUAUCUGGUCUCGGCAUCGAGCAGGGUCUUGUUGGUGAAGUAUAUCGGGUACUGAACCCCUUCUUCUUCUCUUACUAGAACAGAACUUGCAGCAUGAUUUGAUACCGCCAAAUAUAAGAACAACCUAUCGUCAUCCCUUAGUGUGGACAGCAAAGGUGCUUGUUGCAAGUACUGCUUCAAGUUCUGGAAGGCUUCUUCACAUUCUGGGGUCCAUUCUGUAUUCUUUCCUCUCCUUAUCACUUGGAAAAAUGGCUGACACUUAUCUGUAGCCUUGGAUAUGAAUCGGCUUAAUGCCGCCAACCUCCCCGUAAGGCUCUGUGUCUCCUUCAGGUUACGAGGUGACCUCAUCUGCACGAUCGCCUGGAUCUUCUCAAGAUUUGCCUCGAUCCUGCUCGAACAUGGGGAUUUGGUUGUAUCCCGAGAAUGCGUCCAUGAAGCUGAGCAAGCCAUGUCCGGCUUUUAAGUCUACAAGCUGGUCAAUCUUUGGUAAUGGAAAGCUGUCUUUCGGGCACGCCUUGUUGAGGCCCGUGAAAUCCACACACAUCCUCCACUUGCCAUUAGCCUUUUUUACUAACACCACAUUCGAUAUCCACUCGGGAUAAUUGACUUCCCGAAUGAACCCUGCUUUCAAGAGCUUCUCCACCUCGCCGUUUAUAGCCUCAUACCUCUCCUGGUUGAAGCACCUCCUUUUCUGCCUUACUGCCCGAGCACCUUUCUUUAUUGCCAGUUUAUGACAUGCGACCUAAGGGUCGAUUCUUGGCAUGUCUUCAUGUGUCCAAGCAAACACAUCUGCAUGAGCCCGCAAGCAUUGCACCAACUCCUGCUUCUGCUAUUCUUUAAGCCUCAACCCAAUUCGGAUCGUUUUUCCCAGAUCCUUUGGUCCUAGGCUCACUGUCUUCAACUCCUCUACAGGUUCUUGUCUACCAGUCUUGGUUCCCACUCGGGUAUCAAGGGAUGUUAUCUGCAUUGCUUCCCUUGCUGACGAGGAGUAAUAGCUUCGUGCGAUUCUCUGGUCUCCUCAUACCACUCCAACUACCCCAUUCACCCGGUACUUGAGAGCUAGAUAAUGGUUGGAUGACACCGCUUUACUCAUCCUCAGAAAUGGUCGACCUAGGAUCAUCUGGUAAGGACCCUCUUCAUCGACUACCAAAAAAUCCAGCAUCAUAGUCCUUUCUGUCGGGGAGCUUCCAAUCGUGAUAGGCAGCUCAACCACGCCCAGGGGGACCAGCUUUCCUCCUCCAAAUCCCUUCAAGGAGGUAUUGGUGUGCUCCAACCUCAGGUCUGUUAUUCUCAUCUCCUCCAGAGUUGACUUAAACAACACAUCAACUGAGCUCCCUGUGUCAACCAGUAUCCGGUCAAACUUCUUGCUGGCGACGGUGGCCUUGAUGACUAAGGCAUCCUUGUGUGGGUAUAGAAUCCCUUAUUCAUCCUCAUCUGUCCACAUGAUUGGCACUUGUCAGACUCUUGCUCGUUUGGCUGCUGGGGUGUUGAAGAACACAUCUUUACUAGUCAUGGCAAAUUUAGCAUAAUUUUUCCUCGAUCUGUUGGAAUCUCCGGCCAACGUUGGACCCCCUAACAAUCACUCUUACUAUAGGCUGCCUGUGGCUCAAGUUCCUGUUACCCUGCUCCUCUUCACAUAUCGGGGCCACCGUCGGAAAAGUCCCAUCGAUAAACUCGUCCAGGUAUCGAUUUCUCACCAAAUCUUUAACCUGGGUCUUAAGGUCUCUUCAUUCUAUUGUGGUAUGGCCAUGAGUACCAUGGAACUUGCAAUAGUGCCCCUAUCCCUUCUGCUGGGUAGCUUUGUUAUUGGGGCUGGGAGGUACAGUAAUCCCCAGUCCUUUAUGGCCUCACAGACUUCGUCCAGUGGGAUAUUCAAGGAAGUAUACUGCCCAUAGUCCUGGUUCUGGUCGAUCAUAUGCACUGCCCUUUCUCUGUUUGUGCCAUUCUGAGUUGGAGGUGGUGGCAGCGCUUCUGGUCUGCUCCCCCUACUACCAUGGGGGUGUGGGUGAAGGUGACCGUAUGUCGCGUCAUGCCUUCUCCUAGGCUCCCUAGCUGGUGAGCGAGAAGGUUGCGCCCUGCUGUGCUGAUACUGUGGUGGCCUCUAAUGAGGUUGGUAAGCGGUUACCCGACCUCUUGUACCACUACCUAAGGCAUGGUGGUCCCUCCUCUUAAUCGGCCCAUUUCCUGGUACGGCUCUCUUCUCUUUCCUCUUUAAUCCUUCCAGCUGGUCUGUCUUAAUCCGUGCCGCCUUUUCCUCCUCUAUUUCUAUGUCUCUCUUAGCCUGCUCGUAAGCAACUGAAUAUGUCUGAAUAACUGGGCUUCUCAAGUUAUAUCACAUCCGUCUUAUCUUCACUCCUUCUUUCAAUCCCCUUAAUGCCUGAGGAUGGUUGAAGGCUCCCAAGUCGAGGACAGCACGGUGGAACCUUUUGAUGAAUUCCCGAAGGGUUUCCUCCUCUCUCUGCUUCAUGCUCGUUAACUCCAUCAUAUCAUCUUCCGGUGCCAUUACCCCACGAAACUGCUCUGCAAAUUCCUGGCACAUCUGCUCGAAGGCUUUAAUGCUCCCUCGAGGAAGUUUCCUGUACCACUCGCGUGCUCGUCCCUCUAGAGAUAGUGGGAACACCCUGCAUCUUUGGGCUUGAGAUAGUCCUUGCACCCCGGUCAUGUUGUUGAAGCGCUCUAUGUGCACCAACGGAUCAGUUCGCCCCAAAUAUCUGAGGUCUGGGAGGCGAAAAUCUCUUGAAAUGACUGCCCUCAUGAUCUCUGCCGAGAGCGGGGUUUCUCCGUCCAGCAUUAUCCUCCAACCAGGUGCUCUACUCCUUCCUUGCAUAUCAUCAAUUACUUGCGCUAGUUUGCGCACUUCCUUCUCUAGCUGCAUUGCACGACCAGGGUCACGUGCUGUAACUUGAUCCCGCUCUUUCUCUACAUCAUGUAAGUAUUGCCUGAGCUCUGUUUCCUCUGCAUUCACCACCCCAUCAUCCUCAUCAAAAAUCUAUCUUCUUGGGGAUUGCUCUUCUUCUCUAUGAAUUCCUCCCCGUAAAGAUAAGUUACCUCUCUCACCACCAAAUCUCCUGGUGGUCUGACUUCUCAUCAUACCAUCGUGCCCUGGUGCCACUCUGCCACCUCUCACCCUUUUCUCAUGGGUUCCCCUUCGUUCACUCCUUAGUUCAUGUAGGAUGGUUGUCAGGGUCUCCAUCUGCUUUUCCAUCCGUUCCAUUCGGUCAUGCAUGGCUUUUUCCCGUGCUUCAAUGGCUAUCUCCCUUAACGUCAUGGAUUCGUUAAGCCUCAUAUCACCUCCUUGUGCACUACUUCCUCCUACAUCCAUUGUUUCUUCUCUUGCUUUGUUUUUCCUUUCUCUGUCAACAGAAGUUUUUUUAUCAGCUCCCUACAGACGGCGCCAAAAUGUUGAUGCGAGAUUCUGGUUACCCACUCGACCACGACCAGGAUCUCUGCUCAAUCAACUAACUCGACCACGAUCAGGAUCUCUCCUCGUAUGCUUUCUUCUUCAAAAAUUCCUGCGUACACAGAAACAAGUCAGAGCACGCUGGUUGUUUUCUCGGCGUAAACCCUCCGAUGCUCAAGUCAAAUAUGAAGGUUUUGUGUUCCUGGGAACAUUAGCCACUAGUCUUAAGCUUUGCUUUUAGUAUCGACUGUUGAAUGCUCUCUUUAUCUCAAUUUCUGUAUUAAAAGUUCUAACCCUUUUACCUUCGUUGGCUGCCUUUUUAUAGGCUCCUCCUGAGUCCAGAUCCUCCCCUCCAUUCACGUCCGUUACCUUCCCACCUCUCGAAAGUGGAUGCUCCGUUUCCGUAAUCGUGGGUGGUUGCAUGGCCUUCGUGCCUCGAUUCUCGGGCUGGAGAGUACGUCUUGCCAACUGUCGUUGAUUGGGUCUCCUCGCUUCAAACCUUAGCAGGACCAUUAUGCUUCUAACAGGAGAUCGGCUUCGCGGAUGGUGUAUUCGUGGACGAGCAGAUAUUCCUGCUUCUGUUCCCAUGCUACCAGACCUCAGCUCAUCACGGCUGGUCUCGUCGAAGUACAUCCCCCAAACAAUCUUCAUAUUAAUUACGAAAAUAUCCUCUAAAUUUUAACUUAACUAUUCAUAAUUCAAUGUCAUUCGGAUAUUUCGUUUAUUUGAGUAGGGAUUAGGGGUCAAUUUGAUACAAAUUCAAAAUUAUCCUCAUUUGCGAAGGUGAUAAAAGUUAGGGAUUUAGUUUGGAUGUCACUAGCCACAAAUAUUAAACGCAUGCAUCUAAUUCAAAAUUAGAGGCAUUAUCGUUAUAUUGACAUGUGUCACCAUCCCACAACCUCUCCAAUGAAAAAUUGACAUGCAUCUUGUGUGCUUCUUAUCAAAAUCCUGAAAAUUAAUCACAAAAGUUAUAUUUUUAUUAUAAAAAGAAGAAAGAAACUCCAUGAGUGAAGAAAAAAAAAAAAGACUUACAUUAAUAGUUUGGAUAAUCUAGAUUUCAAGUUGUCUAUAUUAGCUUGAUAUUUUUAUAAAUAUCAAGAUUUCAAGUUGUCUAUAGUAGCUUGAUAUCUUCUAAAAAAAACUCCAUCAACAUAUAUUUUAAUUUUACGUUAAUUAAUAAAUAGAAAAUCCAUUUUAGAAUUAAUUAAAGCAUUAUUUAUUGUUGCCAAAGAAGGAAGUAUUUAGCGAUAAGAAAAAAGUGUCUCAAAUAUAUGUUUAAAAAAAAAUAAUCAUGGUUGGUUGGACUGAUUGAAUUUUUCUUUUCUUUUUUCUUUUUUAAGAACUAAGACAAUUGGAUUGAUUGAGUAAUAAUAAAAUAUAUUUAUUUGGCAAAUGGCAGGUAGGCUUUCUUCUGGUGCAGAUUGAUUAGAGAGAAUAUAUAACAAUUUUAAGCUCGUAAGAUUCGGAACCUGCUUAUCUGUCGUGUGGGAAUCACUUCCGUGUCUUAUUUUUCUAGAAAAAUCUAGACCAUUGGAUUUACCAUUGGGCAGUAGAGAAAUGUUGAUCUUGAUUCCUGAUCAGGAUCGAAGUUUGAUUCUAUCUAACAUGAUAUCAGAUUGCGAAGCAAGCUAGUUGUGAGUAACUUGUUCUAUUUUGAUGGAAGAAACACAAGUUCUAAUAAAAAAUUCUAAGUAUACAUUUUUUUUUUUAAUUUUUUUAUUGUGAUCAAUAUAACUAGUCAAAUCUAUUUUUAAACAUUUUUUUUAAAUAUUUUGUUAACAAUGAUAUGAAAAUAUUCGAACCCCUCCUCAUAUAGUAAAGUGAAUUACUAUCCAACGAUCCAACUAACGUCUUCAAAUUGUAAAUUGCAAAUCGUGUGUUUGCUCCAUUACAGAGUUUCUUCAAUUUAAAAUAGAGAAUCGUUUGUGUUCUAGAUUAAUCGUGGGUCUAUAUCCAAAUCUAAAAAUUGACUAACUUGAUUUCUAUUAAAUUCUUAACCCUAACAAGAAAAAUAGAAGAUUAAAAAUGACUAAUUUGGUUUCUAUUAAUUUGAGUAACGAUUAAUAUUUAUCAUUCAAUAGUCACUUAUAUUAUCAAAAUCUUGGGUCGAAAAUAUUAGGAUAGGUGAUAAUUGGAAUUAAGUUGUAGAUAAGAUAGAAAUGGAUUUGGAGAGAGAUUGGAAUCCUGGGUAAAUCCGGUACACGUUGGUGUGUUAAAUUCUCGUUGACUUCACGUUGACCGAGGCAUUAUUGGAAGAAACAAGCAAGCUUAUUUUCUUCUCUCAUUUUUAACCUUUGUCUAAAUUUAUUGGUGUGAGGCCUUUGAGAUGGUAAAGUGUUAAAUCUGAGAAGAGUACCCACACUAUUACUCUUAUUUUAUCACGUUUUAUCACAAUAUUACUCUUAUAGUCAAUGUUUGAUUCGCACGAAAAAAAAUUUGCGAGGAUUGUGAGGGUUGAUGCAAUAUAAUUUAGAUGCAAAGUGUUUACAAGUGCGAUGCUUCGUAAGUGUACUCGAAUCAUUAUAAACUCACGUUAUUUUCAUAGUGAUUAUUUCAUUUGCACGUGAAUAUAAUCAUAUAUGUGGAGAAUUUUUUUUCCUAAAUUAUGGUCUUAUUUAGUAUUGAGAUGUUAUAUCUUUUAAAUUAUAAUUAAUAUUAGUAAAAAAACUGCAACUAUAAAAUAAAAGUUAAUAUUAUGUCCUGAAUAUAAUUGUUAAAUAAUAAUUUUGACAAAAUUAGUGAAGACAUACAGAUUUUUUUAUCAUAUAAGUGUAAAAUUCUAUCAACUUAGCUUUUAAGUUAUACAGCAUCUAUUGUUUACCAAAUACUUUAGUGUUGUAACUUUUAAGUUAUAACUGUCUAACCUUUAACCUCAAUCUCAAACGAGGCUUAUAAAGAUCAAGGAUUUCCUCAUAAAAAUUAUUACGUCAUGUGAUUGCUUAUUUAAUUUAUAUUUUCGUCAUUUAUCUUUAUUAAUUAAACAUGCACAUAUUAUUUCCUUUUAUUUUCUGCUUGGUAACCCGUAAAUACUAAUCCAGUACUACUAAUUUCAGACAGAAAAUUUUGAACUCUAGGCUGCAGUUUGACUCAAAAUGAUGGUCACUGGCUUCGCACCAUUUUACCGGUAUACAUUUCUACAAACUGAACAAGGCUAUUGAUUAUUAUUAUUAUUAUUUUAAUUUGUUUAUAAAUUACUAUUUUAAUUUUCACUUUUUAUUGGGUUGUUUAACGGAUUGGUGAAGCUGGUGGUCGUUGAUGCACUCACAAGGUACAAUUUUAUUUUAUAAUUUCAAAUUCGUAUUUUAAAACGCAGGUACAUUAUGUAUAUACAUAAUUAUUGAUUUUCGUAUGAGGGUGUUUUGAAAUAUUGCUAAAAGACCAAACUUUAAUAAACUAUUUUUGAUCUUUUUUUUUUUUCCUAAAGUUUGGGUGAUAUGCGCAUUUUAAAUUCACGUGGAACAAAAGUUAAUGUAUGUAUAAAAAUUCUUUUAUUUUACUGAGCAAAAUAGGCAAGCGAAAAAGUUUUGGCAAAUGAGUUGCAACUGAAUUCAAAACCAAUACAAUGCGAGCAUAGGAAAGAGGCCAGUGUUUAGGAUUUGAAUUUAGGUAGCGUUUACUUUUUGGAUUGGAUUGGGAAUCCUGGGGAGUGGGAAUCCUAGGAUUGAGAGUGUGGAGUGGGAGUGGGAGUAGGUUGUUUACUUACACUGGAAUGGAAGCAUGGAAUGGAGAUCAGAAUCCAAUUUAUGUGUUUACUUUGUCUUGGAUUGGGAGUAAAUAGUUUCAAAUUACAAUUUUAUCCUUAUUUAAAGAAUUAUAAUUUUAAUUACAAAACUAAUAAAAUAUAUAUUUAAUGAAUAAUAUUUAUUUUAUUAUAUUUGUAAAUUUAUUAUAAUUAUUAAUAUUCUUAAUUAUGAACAAUAAAUUAUUAAUUGUAAUUUUAAUAUAAAAUGAAAUGUUAUUUUAUUUAAUAUAAUUAUAUUAAAUUUAUUAUUAUAUAAAAUAAUAAUAUAAUAUUAUUUAGUACAAAAUUAAUAUUUUCUUAGAAUAAAGUAUUUAUUAUUAUUAUUAAAUAAAAUAUAGUACUAUUAUUUUUAAAAUAAAUAUAAUAAUAUUAUAUUUAUUAAUUCUCUAUUAAUAUAAUAAUAUUAUUUUAAAAUAAUUUUAACUUAGAAUCAAUGUAAAUUAUUAUUUAGUUAAAUAUAAUAUUAUUAUUUAAAUAAAUAUAAUAUUAUUAUUUAAAUAAAUAUAAUAUUAUUUAUUUUAUUUUAUUAAUUAUAAAACAUAAAAUAAAAAAAAAAAGGGUAGAAAUGGGAGAGGUGGGAGUGGAUUCCCACUCCCACCUCCCCCAAUGGGAGUCCCACUCCCACUCCCCACUCCAAAAAUGGGUGGGGCCCACGGAGUGGGACUCCCAAUUCCUUCUCAUUUUAAGUAAGUAAACGCUGGAGUGGGAGGAAUCCACACUCCUCACUCCCACUCCAGCAAGUAAACACAACAUUAGUAUUAAGCUGAAUUUUAUGGUAAGCUCUUUUAUAGUACUGUGAUUGAUAAGCUCAGCCCCGGAUUUGCUUUUGCUUUUGCUUUUACUUCAAGUGAAAGAGAGAGGAAACCUUUUGUUUUUUUCUUUGGUUUUCAACUAUGUUACCUAUACAAAGAGUCAAGAUACCUGCCAUAAGUGAUGGUGUUAAAAAGAUUAAGCAGCGCACACAAUCUUACUGUCGUCUAGACCAUCCAGUGAUGACUCUAGUCUUUUGGUUACGUUAGCUUUAGUUGAAAGAAGGGCCAAUUUAACAAAGACUAGAUUUGAUGGCUUACUAUGUUUAAUGUAAUGCUAAUUCUCAGGGAAUCUAAUGUUAUAACUUAUAAGACGAUCUCCUAUGAUGAAUAACAGUAACACAUUACUGUGAUUGAGAAAACUCAGUUACAAUAAACUAUUCAUUUACUCAUUGCGGAGAUUGAAUAGCAAAUAGAGAAUAGAAUGAAGCAGAGGAAUCUCAUUGCCAAUAAAAUUGACCCUCUUUAAUGUUAUAUGGCACAGGUGUGGAGGAAGAACAAGUUACUUGCAGUUUUUAUUGUAAAAUAUACAGGUAUGACCAUGAUCAUUACAGUUGGGUUUUGAUAAUUUCAGAUGCUUUUUAAAAAAAAAAAAAAUUAUGACAUCUUUGAUUUACGGUAGUUUUGCAGAAAAAAAAAUAUAAAAAUUAAGAGGGAUGAGUUAAACUGACGAUUACAAUCAUUCCAGCAAUGCUGAUGAGUGAUACAUCACUUGAAAUUUACUUGUCAGUUGCUGAAAUGAUGAAAAAAAAACAAUAAACGAUAACAGUAAUAAUGUUCCGUUGCUGAAAUUCAAUUUUGACUUUCUACUCUUGGCUUUUAUGGAAAGUAAAAUGACUUGUAUAUUAUCCUCAUACAAUCCACUCUACAUAAUGAUAUCAUUUUAAUAAGGCAAUGGCUGAUGAUCUCCAUUUAAAAACUACAUCAUUUUUUUUGCUUCAUUUAACUUUUUGGUUGUUGAAAAUAACCUUAAUUAUCAAAUAAUUGGAGAAAGAGUAAAGAACAUUUAACAAAUUUAUGUGCAAAAAAAAAAAAGGAGAAGUUGAAGAGAAAGGGUGCUUGCAGAAGUGGGUGUCAAAGAUAAAUCGGUCCAUAAGAAUUAUUGUGGUUAUUUUUUUGGCAAUAUAAGAACUUAUGCGAUAGCAUUUUUUAUGGGUGCAUAUAACCUCCCUUUAAAAAUAUAUAUAAUAAUUACUGCUUAAUAUAGUAUUAAAUACAAAAAUAUCAAUAUUUGACUACUUAAAUUUAUAUCAUUAGGUCCUUAAAAUUUAAAAUGGAAGAUAUGAAAGGAAAUAUAUAUAAAUUUCAUUGUCCUGGUAAAGGGCCCUCUUAUAAUCUUAUAAUAUUUGAACUUUGAUAGAUUUUUUGAAACAAAUGUACUUUUAUUUGUGUACAAUCAAUAUUUACUCAUUUAUUAUAUUUUAAUUUAUUAACUAUUAAUCAUGUAAGUAUACUUAGUCAGAAAAAUUAUAUCAAGAGAAAAUUCUAAUUUCACGCAAAAACAAAUACCAAAACAAAUAUCUCAAUUUCUAUACUAUUCACUUUCCUGUAGAAUCAAUUAUUUAAAAUGCAAGUUUGUGGCUACAGAAAACUCGCCAAAGAAAAAAGAUAAUAACAAUUGAGCAUUGAUAGCAAAACUAAUGCAUCCAAUUCUUCUUGACUUGAUGAGAUGGCGCCAUAACGUAGACACAAGUACCUAAAUUGACCGGCACUGAGUGAUGUGAAUACUACCAGCCAGUUCAUCUCUUCCAGUCUUGCUUAAUCACAAUCACAAACACCACGAGAUCGACAUUUGCAUUAUAUAUAUCUUCUGCAAUCGAAACACCUUGCAUUACCAAAUAAGCCCGUAACAGACAAAGCAAUCUUUCAUGGAGAGAAACCUUAGUCUCAGUAUGAUCACUGUGUCAUUAACCUACUGCCUGCUUCUUUGCUUGGUUGCUGCAGCAGCAGCAGCGGCAAGCAACAAUAUUACCACAGACCAACAAGCUCUUCUUGCCCUGAAAGAUCAUAUAAUUUAUGAUCCUACCAGCCUUUUAGCUCACAAUUGGACCUCGAAUACCUCUGUUUGUACCUGGAUUGGCAUCACUUGUGAUGCCAAUAGCCAUAGAGUCAAAACCUUAGAUAUUUCUCAAUUCAAUCUACAAGGCACCAUCCCUCCUCAACUUGGAAAUCUCUCUUCACUCACAACACUUAAUCUUAGUCAUAACAGGCUUUCUGGAAGUGUUCCCUCCUCCAUCUACACCAUGCAUACGCUAAAAUUUCUUGACUUCACUGAUAACCAGCUCUCUGGUUCAGUGUCUUCCUUCGUCUUCAACAUGUCUUCAAUAUUAGUAAUUCGUUUGACCAAUAACAUAUUUUCUGGUGAGCUUCCGAAAAAUAUUUGCAACUAUCUUCCUUAUUUGAAGGCCCUUUUCUUAAACAAAAACAUGUUUCAUGGCAAAAUUCCUUCUGCUUUAUCAAAGUGCAAACAACUGCAACAAUUAAAUUUGCAGUUCAAUAAUUUAUCCGGUGCAAUACCAAAAGAAAUCGGCAACUUGACUAUGCUCAAAGGGAUAUAUCUCCUCUACAACAAACUCCACGGUAUGUUCACAAUACUAUAUAAAUAUUUUAAUUUAUCACUUAUUAUCUUUCUUGAAUAAUUUAGUUAAGAUCUUGUAAGAGAGAUUUUUUGCAUCUACGUUAAUUUACCAGGUGAGAUACCCCACGAAAUCGCUAAUCUUCCAAAUCUAGAGGCUUUAGCGCUUGGAAUCAACAACGUAGUUGGUGUGUUACCAGCUCCCAUCUUCAACAUGUCAACACUGAAGGUACUUAUCCUCAUAAAUAACUCUCUCUCCGGAAGCCUUCCAUCAAGAGUAGACCUUUCACUUCCAACUGUUGAGCAACUUAACUUGGCACUUAAUAGAUUUUCUGGAACCAUUCCUAGUUCCAUCACCAAUGCUUCUAAGCUCACCUUUCUAGAGUUGGGAGCAAACACAUUUUCGGGGUUUAUUCCAAACACAAUUGGUAAUUUAAGAAACCUUAAGUGGCUCGGCUUGGCUAAUAACUCCUUGACAUCUUCAACCUCAAAAUUGAGCUUUCUUUCCUCUUUGGCAAAUUGCAAGAAAUUAAGAUUCGUAAACGUAAUAGGCAAUCCACUGGACGGCUUCCUUCCAAGUUCAAUAGGUAAUCUUUCUGUGUCUUUGGAAACACUUGGCAUCGGCAAUUGCAGUAUUAGUGGCAACAUUCCUCCAGCAAUUAGCAAUUUAAGCAACUUGUUGACCUUAGUAUUAGACGGCAAUAAAUUGACUGGACCAAUCCCAACUACAUUCGGCCAACUGCAGAAACUCCAAGGCUUAGAUCUUGCAUUCAAUAAGUUGGUAGGUUCAUUCCCAGAUGAGCUUUGCCAUCUGGCAAGGCUGGAUCAAUUGGUCUUAUUUGGCAAUAAGCUUUCAGGAUCUAUACCUUCAUGCUUAAGUAACCUCACUUCUCUAAGAUCUCUCUAUUUAGGGUCCAAUAAGUUUACUUCUGUUUUUCCCUCAACCUUCUGGAGCCUAAAAGACAUCUUGUUCUUUGACUUUUCAUCAAAUUUCUUGGUUGGUCCUCUUUCUUUAGAUAUAGGAAAUUUGAAGGUGCUUCUAGGAAUAAGUUUAUCAAAAAAUAAUUUAUCCGGUGAUAUCCCAGCCACAAUUGGAGGACUGAAAGAUCUUCAAUUUAUGGACCUAGCAUAUAAUAGAUUGGAAGGCCCAAUUCCUAAAUCAUUUGGUGACUUGAUAAGUUUAGAAGUUCUGAAUUUAUCAAAUAAUAAAAUCUCUGGGUCUAUUCCAACAUCCAUGGAGAAACUCUUUUACCUCGGAGAGUUAAAUCUCUCUUUCAAUAAACUAGAAGGUGAGAUUCCUAGUGGAGGAACUUUUGCCAACUUCACAGCUGAGUCAUUUAUGGGAAAUGAGUUUUUGUGUGGUUUACCAAAUCUUCAAGUCCAACCAUGCAAAGUUAGCAAGCCGAGGACAGAACAUAAAUCAAGGAAAAAGAUACUUCUCAUUGUGAUUGUUUUGCCAUUGAGUAUUGCUCUAACAAUAGCAAUCACUCUAGCUCUCAAAUCUAAGCCGAUCGAAUGUGGAGAAAGAAGCACAGUGUUGUCAAAUGAUAGUAUCUUGUCAUCACAAGCAACACUAAGAAGAUUUUCAUACUUAGAACUUUUACAAGCAACAGAUAAUUUUGCUGAAAACAGCAUAAUUGGCAGAGGAGGUUUCGGUUCCGUUUAUGGAGCAAGACUUGAAGAUGGGAUGAAGAUUGCAAUAAAAGUGUUUCACCGGCAAUGUGCAAGCGCAUUGAAGAGUUUUGAGGCUGAAUGUGAAGUGUUAAAAAAAAUUCGCCAUCGAAACCUUAUCAAAGUUAUCAGCAGUUGCUCGAACGAUGACUUCAAAGCAUUAGUCCUAGAAUACAUGUCCAACGGGAGCUUAGGGGAUUGGCUGCAUUCGAGCAAUUACGUGCUGAAUAUUUUUCAAAGGUUGAACAUAAUGAUUGACGUUGCAUCAGCUUUAGAAUACCUCCACUUCGAUCAUUCAACUCCUAUUAUUCAUUGUGACUUAAAGCCUAGUAAUGUAUUGUUGGACGAAAAUAUGGUUGCUCAUUUGAGUGAUUUUGGCAUAGCAAAGCUUUUAAGUGGAGAAGAUGAGUCUACGAUGCGAACAAAAACCCUUGCCACUAUAGGUUAUAUGGCACCAGGUUUGCUUCAAACAACUUUUUUUUUUAAGUUCAUUUUAAAUUUUCUAAAUCAUUGAUUUUUACGAUCCUCAUAUCAAAUUGUUAUUGAUUAUUUAUCUAAUUGUGAAAUUAAUUUGAUUCAUAGAGUAUGGCAUAGGAGGAGAAGUAUCUACAAAAAGCGAUGUUUACAGCUACGGGAUUAUGUUGAUGGAAACUUUUACCAAGAAAAAACCCACAGAUGAAAUUUUUGUUGGAGAAUUGAGCUUAAAGCAUUGGGUUAAUGACUUGCUUCCUAAUUCAUUAGUGGAAGUUGUGGACAAAACUCUGCUAAGUGGAGAGGAAAAACAUUUUGCAUCAAAGGGGCAAUGUCUGUUGUCUAUCUUUAGUUUGGCUCUGGAGUGUACAAUGGAAUCACCGGAAAAGAGGAUUAAUGCAAAAGAUAUUGUUACCGGAUUACUCAAGAUAAGAGACACAUUGAGUAAAAGGAUAGGAAAUUUAAGUUAAUUUCGUUUGCUUUCAUUGAUAGUUAAUUCGAAUUCAUGUAAUAAGUGCAAGAAUCUUAUAUCUUUUCCUUUGAUAUAUUCUUUUUCUUGAGAAAACUGUUGUAGUCAUCUUGUUUCCAUGGGAAGAGUUGAUUUAGUUCUUCCAAAAAAUGCUACUGAUGACCUUUGUUUAAUACUUUCUCUUUUUUUGCACGUGUUUAGGUAGAACAGUGGUUUGGCUGCAGGCUAAUAAGUCAAGCUACGCCAAAAGCGUAUGAUUUAAUUUAUUAAACAUAACUUCAAGUUCAAGAAGUGUUUCUCAUUGCCACCAAUGCUUUGGACACCUGUUGGAAGGUUUGUUGUCCUCAGCUUUUGUUUAGAGCAAAAGUUCGAGUCCCAUAAAGGCUCAAACAUUCCUUUCCUUCAUCCCGAGGGCGCCUUCUGUCCUCUGUUUUCUGUUUCCACACACAAAUAGCAAAAAGAAAUUAGAAUGACAACUGGGACAUAUAUAAGAGUGAAAUAAUUAAAAAAAUUAUGCUUUUUUGUCUGUCGUGUUAAAAUCGUAAGUACCGAAGUACUGUGAAAGAGAUUAAUUUACAGAAACUGAAGCCAAGGGUUCAAAAAAAAACUAUUGAUGUAGCUAGGAUGCAAUGUCAUAUUCAUACAGAGAUGAAGUAUAUUAUUUACGGCUGGUAAAGACUAGGAAUUGAUGUAGCUAGAAUCCAAAGAUGAUAAGGUAUGUUGUGCACUAUUGUUUUAUUCUACGGUCAAUCUUGACCCUUGGUGCUUGGCUCUCAAUCUUGUCCAUUGAUCUUCUCUGAUCUUGGAAACUUCAAGACCUUUCACUCUCAUGCCUUAUUAUUGGUGUCUUCCAUGCUGUAGCUUUCAAAUACAAGCUUUCCCGCCAACUUGCCAAUUAUUUGUCCGUUGGUGCAUUUUAUCAAACAGUUUGGAUACUUAUACCAAACGCCUUCUGUUUUAACUCCCCCCCUCAAGCUCAAGCAUCUGGGAAGACAUUAAUAAGCUUGUUUCUCAAGUAUAUAUAUCUGAAAAUUAAAUUUUAUAAAUUAUAUUCGGACUCUACAUUUUCUAAUGAACAUUGGUUUGGCUUAUAAGCUUAUUAUACUCAGGUUUGGUAGGAGCCAUAUCACAAUGUUAACGCUAACCAGCAGUACUGCCAAAGCUGGCCAACUCAGCCUGCAAGUUCAUAGCAACCAUAGUUACAGUCCUAGUCCGGUACAAAAAUCGUAAAUAUCAUUUACAUUACAAUGGUGUGGGGGGGGGGGGGGGGGUUUGUUGGGUGGCUGGAGAGGGAAUCAACAAAGAUCUAGAACGAAGGGUAGGCUUGUAUCCGUAACCCAUGUCACAGUGUUAAUGCUAACCGUGGACCUUAUUAUAUUAGUUGCUGGACUAUUAUUACUUUUGAAUUGCCAUCUUUGAAUUUACGUUCAUUUCUGCCUCGACAAGAUGUUUGUAAAAAUAUGCUAAUUAUUAAUGUGCCGUGUACAAAUAAGCAUGUUACUGUGCAAGGAUUGUAGUCAUGAUACAGUGGUGCAAAAUGUACAUGCUACUUCUUCUUUUCCUCAGUUAGGAUCACCGUCGUCACCAUUUAAUUCUAAGUCCACCCAUGCGGCCUAUGCAAUUGAAAUCAUGUGACCAUGUAAUUUUAGGUUCUGAUCUUCCUUGUGGGGUUAAACCUCAAAACUGUGACCAUUUUGGGACUUUUAAUCAGUUCCAAUCAUUUUCUGGUUCCCAUUCGUCCACCCAAGCCUUGAUUCCCCCGAUAUAGCAUUGCAAUAUAUAUAGGAAUAUUAAGGUUGUGUACAGUUUUUUUCUUUUCUGUUUUUAAUUUGAUAUAAAUUAUCAAUCAUGAAUCUACAUAAAGUUUCAACUAGGCUACUACCACAAUAAACAUUUGGAUGAACUAUUAUUGAAACCUUAUUGAGAAGUAGGACAUGUCGCAUACCAAUGCACUGACAUAUCUUCAAAUAGUGGUAACUCCACACAACAUGGCACAAUAAAUUAAGAGUUAUAUAGAUAAAAUCUUUCACUCUUUGGUAAUCAUCAAUGUCGGCAUGACAAUGCGUCCCACAAAUAUGGCUCCUUAUCAAAAUUCAUAAAUCAAAACAAAAAUAGAGAAUCAUAUUUGUUCUAGAUUGUAGUGAUGGUUGUUGAUGCACUCACAAUUUACAAUUUUAUUUAAUAUCUUCAAAUUCGCAUUUUAAAAUGCCCAAAUGUUUGUGUAUACAUAAUUAGUAAUCGAUUCUCAAGCAUGGCCAUUUAAAAGCAUUGCUGAAAGACAAAAUUUUAAUUUACUAUUUUUUGUCUUUUAAUUUUCUUUAAGUUUUUAAUGAUUCCGCAUUUUAAAAUCCUGUGGAACGUGUAUGUAAAAUUCUUUUAUCUUUUAGAGGAAAAUGGGCAAGAGAAGAAGAUUUGGCAAAGGAAUUGCAACCGCAUUUGGAGCUAGUUUUAAUUUUGUCUUUUAAUUCUUUUACACUUGGCUUUUGUUAUUGAUGUCAACUUCGAUGUGUGUGAAGACUCGAGCUCACUCCCUUAUGAGCUAGUUUUAUUUUUCUACUUUCACAUUAAGAAAAAUACUCCUAUUUUUAAGGAAAAGUCAAGUACCUGUAGUUGUGAAGACUCGAGCUCACUCCCUUAUGAUAAAUCUUCAUAUUAAUUACGUAAAUAUCCUCUAAAAUUUUAAAUUAGCUAUUCAAAAUUUGAUGUUAUACGGGUAUUUCAUUUAUUUGAGUAGGGGUUGGGGGUCAAUUGGAUACAAAUUCAAAAUUAUCCUUACUUGAGAUGGUGAUAAAAAUUGGGGAUUUAAUUUGGAUGUCAUUAGCUACAAAUAUUAAACUCAUACAUUUAAUUCAAAAUUGGAAAGCUGAUAUAUGCGCAUCAUCCCACAACCUCUCCAAUGAAAAAUUAACACGUUUCUUGUGUGCAUUUGAUCAGAAUCCUGAAAAUUAAUCACAAAAUUGUCCUGGAAAAAAAAAUGCUUACAUAAAUGGUUUGAAAAAUCUAGAUUUCAAGUUGUCUAUAUUAGCUUGAUAUUUUUAUAAAUAGUCAUCCUCUCAAAAAAAUUCCAUCAAAAUAUAUUUUAAUUUUAUGUUAAUUCAUAAACAUGAAAAAAUCAUUUCAGAAUUAAUUAAAACAUAAUUUAUUGUUUCUCAAAAAAGGUAGAACUUAGUGAUAAGAAAAAAGUAUCUCAAAUAUAUGUAAAAAAAAAAAAAUCUUGGUUAGUUGGAAUGAUUGAAUUUGUUUUUUUUUUCUUUUUUAAGAAUUAAGACAAUCGGAUUGAUUGAGUAAUAAUAAUAUAUAUUUAUUUGGCAAAUGGCAGGUAGGCUUUCGUCUCAUGCAGAUUGAUUAGAGAGAAAAUAUAACAAUUUUAAGCUCGUCAGAUUCGAAGCUGCUUUCCUGUCGUGUGGGGAUCACUUCCGUGUCUUAUUUUUCUAGAAAAAUCAGGACCAUUGGAUUUAUGCGAAUCGUACUGAACAUUGGAAUUGAUGUAUAAGAAAAAAAUUCUGUAGUUUAAGAAGAACAAAAAGGCAUGUUGAAUAGAUUACAAUAGUUUAAGGAAAAAAAUUAUUCAAUUGGGAAUUUUUUUUUCUUUAAUUUUUGUUGUACUUGAUUGAGAUUUCUCCUUAGUCCUUAGAGUUUUAAGUUUGGAAACCGUAGGAUCAGUAAUUUCGUACUUCCUUUGCAAGCUGAGUAUAAGGAUGAAAUUCUUUUAAGAAAUUAAAAAAGAUAAAAAAAAAGCAUACCAAUAGGUAAUUAUAAAUAACCACAAAUAAAUAUAAACAAAAUGUUUAUGAAGUAAAUUAAACAUGCUCAUAUUAUUUUCUUUUAUUUUCUGCUUGGAAACCCAUAAAUACACUAAUCCAGUAUUACUAAUUUCAGACAGAAAAUUUUGAAUUUAACCAGUAUACACUAAUCCAGUAUUAUUUUUAUUAUUAUUUUAAUUUGUUUAUAAAUUACUAUUUUAAUUUGUUUAUAAAUUACUAUUUUAAUUUUCACUUUUUAUUGGGUUGUUUAACGGAUUAGUGAAGCUGGUGGUCGUUGAUGCACUCACAAGGUACAAUUUUAUUUUAGAAUUUCAAAUUCGUAAUUUAAAAUGCAGGCACAUUAUGUAUACAUAAUUAUUGAUUUUCAUAUGUGGGUGUUUUGAAAUAUUGCCAAAAGACCAAACUUUAAUAAACUAUUUUUGAUCUUUUUUUUUCCUUUGUACCUAAAGUUUGAGUGAUAUCCGCAUUUUAAAUUCAUGUGGACCAAAAGCUAAUGUAUGCACAAAAUUCUUUUAAUUUUUUCCGAGAAAAAUGGGUAAGAGAAGAAGAUUUUUCUCUUGAAAAAGAAAAAAUAAUACGUUGCAAGCAUAGGAAAGAGGCCAGUGUUUUGGAUUUGAAUUUAGUAUUGGGUUGAAUUUUAUGCUAAGCUCUUUUAUAAUACUUUAUAGAAUAAAAAUGUAAGGGAUAUUUGGCUAGGCAUGUACUUUAUAGAAUAAAAAUGUAAUAAUGUAAGUCAGUGCAAUGAUCUGCUGUCAUAGUAGUUAUAAAUAUUUAUGUGUAAUACAGUAACAUGAUGCUUAAUCAGUUAAAAAAAAAUUGUAUAUCUUUUUUUAUUUUUUUUAUUGUGAUCAAUAUAACUAGUCAAAUUUAUUUUUAAAUAUUUUUUUAAAAAUAUUUUUAUCGUGUGUUUGCUCCAUUACAGGGUUUCUUCAAUUUAAAAUAGAGAAUCAUUUGUGUUCUAGAUUAAUCGUGGGUCUAUAUCCAAAUCCAAAAAUUGACUAACUUGAUUUCUAUUAAGUUCUCAACCCUAACAAGAAAAAUAAAAGAGUAAAAAUGACUAUUUUGGUUUCUAUUAAUUUGAGUAACGCUUAAUAUUUAUCAUACAAUAGUCACUUAUAUUAUCAAAAUCUUGGGUCGAAAAUAUUAGGAUAGGUGAUAAUUGGAAUUAAGUUGUAGAUAAGAUAGCCUUUCAAAAAAAAGAAAAGAAAAAAAGUUGUAGAUAAGAUAGAAAUGGAUUUGGAGAGAGAUUGGAAUCCUGGCUAAUCCGGUGCACGUUGUUGCGUUAAAUUCUCGUUGACUUCACGUUGACCGAAGCAUUAUUGGAAGAAACAAGCAAGCUUAUUUUCUUCUCUCAUUUUUUACUUUUGUCUAAAUUUAUUGAUGUGAGCCCUCUGAGAUGGUAAAGUGUUAAAUCUGAGAAGAGUACCCACACACCCAUUUGUUGGAGGAUUAACAAUUAAAACACACUAUUUUAUUUCUUCAACAACACUCCUCACCAAUUACAACUCUUAUUUUUCACUCUCUACACCUUAGAGAUUUUGCUGCUUCACUUGAUGUUUAAACCAAAAGGGAGAGGGGGUAUUUAUAUAUGAAACAAACUAAUCACAACCAUUCAUUUAUUCAACUAAUAAACACAUCCUCACCAUCCAUUAAAACCUACCACUCACCUACUUCACCAACCACACCUAACACACCUAACACAAAUAAUUCAAACCUCACCAACCAUACCUACUCAUGGAACCUUCCAUGAGUUGGGCUUGAUUUAUUCAUCUUGGAUCAAGUUUAUGAUCCAACACCUCUCCUUAAACUUGAUCCUGUGACACCAAGCAAACUUCUGAAUCUUACAAAGUCUUCUUGUUUGAGUGGUUUAGUGAAGAUAUCAGCUGCUUGAUCUUGUGAUUUUACAUACUUGAUUUGCACUUCUUUUCUUGCAAUACACUCUCUUAUGAAAUGAUAGCGAGUGGCUAUGUGUUUACUUCGAUCAUGAAAGACUGGAUUCUUGGAUAGGGCAAUUGCUGAUUUGUUAUCAACACAAAUCUCAGUUGGCUCUUCUUGUGCCAAACUCAACUCCUUUAGCAAAUUUCUGAGCCAAAUUGCAUGACAAACACUUGAUGUGGCAGCUACAUAUUCAGCUUCACAGGUGGAUAGCGUGACAAUUGGUUGCUUCUUUGACAUCCAUGUGAAAGCAGUAUCUCCUAUGAAGAACACAAAUCCUGUGGUGUUAUUUCGAUCAUCUACAUCUCCACCCCAAUCGCUAUCGCUAUAUCCAACAAGCUUGUAGUCAUUAGAAAAUGAGUAUAGCAAGCCGAAAUUAGUUGUACCUUUGAUGUAGCGAAGGAUUCUUUUUGCAGCUUUAAAAUGGGUGGUCUUUGGAUUCUCCAUGUAUCGGCUCACAAGUCCAACAACAUAAAGGAUAUCUGGUCUUGUGCAUGUCAAAUAACGUAGGCUUCCAACCAAACUUUUAAAGAAUGUUGGAUCUAUAUCUUCGCCUUCAUCAUGUUUGGAUAACUUGACUCCGCAUUCCACUGGCGUGCUUAUAGGCUUACAAUCAUUCAUCUUGAACUUCUUGAGAAUCUCCUCUGCAUAGCUUUCUUGGGAGAUAAAUAUGCUUUCUUCCUUUUGCUUGACUUCAAUGCCGAGGUAAUAUGCCAUCAGUCCGAUGUCAGUCAUCUCGAACUCUUUGAUCAUCACUCUCUUGAACUCUUCAAACAAGCCUGGAUUACUUCCAGUGAAAAUGAGAUCAUCCACAUACAGGCACACAAUCAAAAUAUCUCCAUAUUUUUCUUUGACGUAGAGAGCAUGUUCAUAUGGGCAUUUGGUGAAGCCUUUCUCUUGAAAAUACUUGUCAAUUCUGCUAUUCCAUGCCCUUGGUGCUUGCUUUAACCCAUAAAGAGCUUUCUUCAAUCUCAAAACUUUGUCCUCGUGUCCUUUCACCACAUAGCCUAAUGGUUGUUCGAUGUAAACUUCUUCUUCAAGGAAUCCAUUCAAGAAAGCAGACUUCACAUCCAUUUGAAAAAUCUUCCAUUUGUUCUGAGCAGCCAAAGAAAUAAUAAGUCUAAUAGUUUUAAGUCGAGCUACAGGAGCAAAUACCUCGUCAUAGUCUAUGCCAGCCUUUUGACUAUAGCCUUUUGCAACUAGCCUCGCCUUGUGCCUUUCAAUUUCUCCCUUCGCAUUUCUUUUUGUUUUAUACACCCAUUUGACACCGAUCGCCUUGUGACCUUUUGGAAGAGUAGUAAGCUCCCAAGUAUCAUUCUUCACAAUGGCUUUGAUUUCUUCAUCCAUUGCAAUUCUCCACUUCUCAUCUAGUGCAGCUUCUUGGAAGUUGACUGGCUCACAAUCAGCAAAGAGGCAAAAGAGAGUGAGAUUAUCAUGUCUCUCAGUUACCUCAUAGAGAUCUUGAAGACUCCUUGCACGUUCUUCGGUUCUUUCAUUUAAGAAAGACGGCGGUGAAUCUCCGCAUGUGGUUGGUGCUGGUGAGAUAGGUGGAGUGGCAGGCUCUUGUUGUUCGUCUACUUGUUUUACCUGUGUAUGAUCAUCUUCUUCAAUGGGAAAGAAGUUGAAGUCAUCCACACCAGAGCCAAAAUCUCAUUCUCCUUCUUCAUCAAAAAUUACAUCUCGACUGAUCACAAUCUUUCCGUUGUUUGGAUUGUAAAGCUUGUAUCCUUUGGAGUUGUUGUCGUAGCCGAUGAAGAUGAACAACUCACUUUUGUCAUCCAGCUUGGCUCUACUUUCGUCUGGUACAUGUACAUGGGCAAUGCUUCCGAAAACUCUUAGAUGGGUGAUGCCAGGUUUUCUUCCACUCCAAGCUUCUUGUGGCGUCUUGCCCCACACGCUUCUUGUUGGAGAUCGAUUGGAUAAGUAGAUUGCACAUGCAACUGCUUCAGCCCAAAAUUCUUUAGGUAGCCUCUUACUCUUAAGCAUGCUUCUUGCCAUGUCGAGGAUGGUUCUGUUCUUCCUUUCUGCAACACCAUUUUGUUGGGGGGAUCUUGGAACUGUCAAAGGGCGUCGAAUUCCAUUUGCUUCACAAAACUCUAAAAAUUCUUUGGAAGUGAACUCUCCACCUCGAUCAGAUCUCAUGGCUUUAAUCUGGUAUCCACUUUCUUUUUCAACUGCAGCUUUAAACUUCUUGAAAGCUUCAAAGACUUCUGAUUUUUGCUUCAAAAAAUACACCCAAGUUUUUCUUGAAAAAUCAUCUAUAAAAAGAAUGAAGUAGUUACUUUUACCAAGGGAGUUUGGCUUGAAUGGACCGCACACAUCAGUAUGAAUGAGCUCGAGUGGCUUCUGAGCUCUUGAGUUUGACUCCUUUGGAAAGCUCUUUCUGAACUGCUUGCCAAGUAAACAUCCUUCACAAAGUUGAUCAGGGUGAUUGAUGUAUGGUAAGCCUUUCACCAUGUUCUUCUUAGAGAGUAGCUCCAGUCCUCUAAAGUUGAGAUGCUCAUAUCGAAGAUGCCAAGUCCAGGAUUGAUCUUUGUGACAGGCUUUGAGACAUUUUGCAACAUCAUUUUGAAUAUUUAAAGGAAACAUUCUAUUCUUUGACAUUCUCACUUUUGUAUUUAGAUUUCCUUUUUCAUCUCUUAGAAAAAGACUAUAAUCUUUUAAGUGAAUAUCAUAGCCCUUUUUCUAAAAGUUGACCUAAACUAAGAAUGUUGCUUUUCAUAUUGGACACAUAGUAAACAUUCGAAAUUAUUUGGUGGCUACCAUCUUUUGCACGAAAAAGAAUGUUACCUCUACCCUUCACUGGUACUUUUGAAUCAUCUCCAAAAGUGACACUGCCAUUCACAAAUUCACUUAGUUGCACGAACAUGCUUCUGUUUCCACUCAUAUGAUUGCUAGCACCUGUGUCAAGAUACCAUGUAUUUUCUUGACCUCCAUUUGUGUCAUUGCGUGCUAGUAAAAGUGUGUCAUCUUCACCAUUUUUCUCUUCAGCAUAGUUCACUCUCUCUUUAAUUCUGGUGCUUGGAGCUCUGCAUUCUGAAGCAUAAUGCCCAAACUUUUGACAAUUAUAGCACUGUACUUGGGAUUUGUCAUACCUCGAUCUUGAAUUGCCUCUGCCUUGUUCUCUGGUUGAGCUUUCUCCUUUGGCAUAAUUGGAGUUGUUGUUGUUGAAAUUCCAACCUCGUCCAUGACCACGACCUCUACCUCGUCCUCGACCUCUACCUCGGACAUAGUGCCUUCUCUCAUUGUCGGAGCUUUCUUCUCUUUUCUUUGGAUUGACUUCCAUCUUGAGAAGUUGUUCUUCGAUUCCUUGCUUCUUUUUUUGUUUUUCUUCAUAGGCUUGCAACCUUCCUUGAAGUUGCUCGAUCGUCAUAUCCUCCAGAUCUCUUGUUUCUUCAAUUGUCAUAACAAUAUGAUCAAACUUCGAGUCUACUGAUCGAAGUAUCUUUUCAAUGAUCCUUACCUCUUUUAACUCCUCGCCAUUUCUUUUUAAUUCAUUGGAAACGGUCACAACUCGAGUAAAGUAGUCAGAAAUUGACUCCGACACCUUCAUGUGUAAGGACUCAAAUUCUCCUCGUAAUGUUUGGAGACGAACCUUCUUAACUUGCUCUGCUCCUUUGUAAGAGGUCUUUAGUUUCUCCCAUGCUUCUUUUGAGGAGGUUGUACCAGCAAUCUUUUCAAAAGCAUCUUCAUCUAAUGAUUGAAAGAUGAGAUACUUUGCUUUAUUCUCUUUCUUCUUCAAGUCUUUUAAAUUCUCCUUCUGCGCCGCAGUUAAAGUGGCUUCAUUUUCUGGCACAAUAAAGCCUUUCUCCACGACAUCCCAUACGUCAUGUGCACUCAAUAGAGCCUUCAUUUUAAUACUCCAAUUGUCAAACUUACUUCCUUUUAAUUGUGGAACUUGAAAUGACAUCAUCAUACCACCGUUUGCCAUAACUCACAAAUUGAGUGAGAAUUUGGAGAUUCUGAAUGCACAGAUGGAUCCGGCACGUCGAAAAACCUUGGGAAGGACUCGAGUCAACUUUCGGUCAACGGUCAACGUCGGUCAACGGUCAACACCGGCUUGGUAGUCUCGGUUCGGUCCGGAUUGGUUCAGCUCGAGUUGGCUCGGUUCGACUUGAUUCGGUUCAGCUCGGCUCGGCUUGGUUCAGUUCGGCUCAGCUUGGUUCAACUCGGUGAGUCGACUCAGCUUCAGGACAUAAAACUUCCGGCGGCAGGUGUGGGCGCGUACGGUCUCGGAUCGGGAUGAUUUUUGCGGCGUCACGUUCCUCUCGUCGAGAUCUUCGAUUUGAUAUGCUAUAUGACUAUAUAUAGCAUCAAACACUAGCUCUGAUACCACUUUGUUGGAGGAUUAACAAUUAAAACACACAAAAAACACACUAUUUUAUUUCUUCAACAACACUCCUCACCAAUUACAACUCUUAUUUUUCACUCUCUACACCUUAGAGAUUUUGCUGCUUCACUUGAUGUUUAAACCAAAGGGGAGAGGGGGUAUUUAUACAUGAAACAAACUAAUCACAACCAUUAAUUUAUUCAACUAAUAAACACAUCCUCACCAUCCAUUAAAACCUACUACUCACCUACUUCACCAACCACACCUAACACACCUAACACAAAUAAUUCAAACCUCACCAACCAUACCUACUCAUGGAACCUUCCAUGAGUUGGGCUUGAUUUAUUCAUCUUGGAUCAAGUUUAUGAUCCAACACCAUUAUCCUAUUACUCUUAUUUUAUCACAUGCAGAGACGUCAACGUUUGAUUCGCACGGAAAAAAAUUUGCGAGGAUUGUGAGGGUUGAUUCAAUAUAAUUUAGAUGCAAAGUGUUUACAAGUGCGAUGCUUCGUAAGUGCACCCGAAUCAUUAUAAACUCACCUUAUUUUCAUAGUGAUUAUUUCAUCUGCAUGUGAAUAUAAUCAUAUGUGGAGAUUUUUUUUUUCCCUAAACGAUGAUCUUCUCUAGUAUUGAGGUGUUAUAUCUUUUAAAUUAUAAUUAUUAUUAGUAAAAAACUGCAACUAUGAAAAAUAAAUUUAAUAUUAUGUCCUGAAUAUAAUUGUUAAAUAAUAAUUUUGACAAAAUUAAUGAAUAUAUACAGAUUUUUUUAUCAUAUAAAUGUAAAAUUAUAUCAACUUAGCUUCUAAGCUAUACAACGGUUACUAUUUACUAAAUACUUUAGUGUCGUAGUUUUUAAGAUAUAUUUAUCCACCCUCAAUCCCAAACAUAACCUGUAAGGAUAAAAAAUUUCAUCCUAAAAAUUAUACGUCUUGUGACUUAUUUAAUUUAUAUUUUUGUUAUUUAUAUUUAUUAAUUAUAGUCAUCUUUUAAUAAAUUACAAUUGAAGGAAGGUGGUUGAUGUUGUCGAGACACACACACAAAGAUAUAUUGGAAGUGCUUAUGUCCACUCGAAGUUGUGGGGAGUUAAUGCAUGUAUUGAUUUAUUGGGAGUGUUAAUGCAUGUAUUGAUUGAUUGAGUGAUUGAAUACUGUUUGAUUGCUUCAUAUCAAUUCUAGAAAGUUUAUUUCUUUGUGAAAUUUCAACGAAACGUGUUUUUUAGAAUAAUAAGGGUGUUUUAAGUAAUUUUAAAAAAUGAAUGGACUAAUUAGAAUUAAUUAUUAGGUAAUUAACUCGAAUUGUAGAGGGUAAGCAAACAUUUAUCCUAAUUAUAUUAUGAUAAAUCCUUUUCCAAUUAGAAUUAGGAAACCAUAGAUAUACUGAAUUUUUUUUUAUUUCCCUUCGCGAAAACGGAUCAGAGAAUUAGAAAACAAUCCUAGUGAUACUAUUGUUAGGUUUAAAACACUGCAUAGAUGGUAAAAACAUUGGAAUUGAUGUAGAUUAAUUUGUUAAUUGCUAUCGUACUGAACAUUGUUUUAUGCAAAUUAAUUUGAGAAUUAGAAAAAAGUUUGUUGCAUGCAAACUUUUUGUUUUAUGCAAAUCGUACUGAACAUUGGGACUGAUGUUUAAGAAAAAAAUUCUGUAGUUAAAGAAAAACAAAAAGGCAUGUUGAAUAGAUUACGAUAGUUUAUUCAAUUGGGAAUUUUUUUUCUUUAAUUUUUGUUGUACUUGAUUGAGAUUUCUCUUUAGUCCUUUCGUACUUCCUUUGUAAGCUGAGUAUAAGGAUGAAAUUCUUUUAAGAAAUUAAAAAAGAAAAAAAAGCAUGCCACUACGCAAUUAUAAAUAACCACAAAUAAAUAUAAACAAAAUGUUUAUGAAGUAAAUUAAACAUGCACAUAUUAUUUUCUUUUAUUUGCUGCUUGGAAACCCAUAAAUGCACUAAUCCAAUAUUACAAUUAAUUUCAAACAGAAAAAAUUGAACUCUAGGCUGCAGUUUGACUCAAAAUGAUGACCACUGGCUUCGCACCAUUCAACCGGUAUACAUUUCUACAAACCGAACAACGCUAUUGAUUUUUAUUUUUUUUUUUAAUUUGUCUAUAAAUUACUAUUUUAAUUUUCACUUUUUAUUGGGUUGUUUAACGGAUUAGUGAAGCUGGUGGUCGUUGAUGCACUCAUAAGGUACAAUUUUAUUUUAGAAUUUCAAAUUCGUAUUUUAAAAUGCAGGCACAUUAUGUAUACAUAAUUAUUGAUUUUCAUAUGUGGGUGUUUUGAAAUAUUGCCAAAAGACCAAACUUUAAUAAACUAUUUUUGAUUUUUUUUUUCCUUUUUACCUAAAGUUGGAGUGAUAUCCGCAUUUUAAAUUCAUGUGGAACAAAGCUAAUGUAAGCACAAAAUUCUUUUAUUUUUUCCGAGAAAAAUGGGUAAGAGAAGAAGAUUUUUCUCUUGAAAAAUGAAAAAAAAUACAAUGCAAGCAUAGGAAAGAGGUCAGUGUUUUGGAUUUGAAUUUAGUAUUGAGCUGAAUUUUAUGCUAAGCUCUUUUAUAGUACUGCGAUUAAUAAGCUAGCUCAGGAUUUGCUUUUGCUUUUACUUCAAGUAAAAGAAAGAGGAAGCCUUUUGUUUUUUUGUUUGAUUUUUGACUAUAUAUGUUACCUAUAUAGAGAGUUGAGGUAGCAGCCUUAAGUGAUGGUGAUAAAAAGAUUAAGCAGUGCACACAAUCUUACUGUCAUCCAGACCAUCCAGUGAUGGCUCUAGUUUUUUUGUUACGUUAGCUUUAGUGGAAAGAAGGGCCAAUUUAACAAAGACUAGAUUUGGUGGCUUACUAUGUUUAAUGUAAUGCUUAUUCUCAGCGCACACAAUCUUACUAUGUUUAAUGUAAUGGUUAUGUUGAAUGAUCUUCUAUGAUUGUGAGUAGUAUAGUAUAAUUGAAAAGGGCCUGGGCUCCUAUGAUGAAUAACAGUAACACAUUACUGUGAUUGAGAAAACUCAGUUCCAAUAAACUCUUCAUUUACUCAUUGCGGAGAUCGAAUGGCAAACAGAGAAUAGAAUGAAGCAGAAGAAUCUCAUUGUUAGGUUUUGAUGAUUUCAGAUGCUUUUUUUUUAAAAAAAAAUUGUGACAUCUUUGAUUUACGGCAGUUUUGCAGAAAAAAAAAACAUAUAAAAAUUAAGAGGGAUGAGUUAACUGACGAUUACAAUCAUUACAGCAAUGCUGAUGAGUGAUAUAUCACUUGAAAUUUACUUGUCAGUUGCUGAAAUGAUGAAAAAAAACCAACAAACGAUAACAGUAAUAAUGUUCCCUUGCUGAAAUUCAAUUUUGACUUUCGACUCUUGGCUUUUAUGGAGAGUAAAAUGACUUGUAUAUUAUACUCAUACAAUCCACUCUACAUAAUGAUAUCGUUUUAAUAAGGCAAUGGCUGAUGAUCUCCAUUUAAAAACUACAUCAAUUUUUUUGCUUCAUUUAACUUUUUGGUUGUUGAAAAUAACCUUAAUUAUCAAAUAAUUGGAGAAAGAGUUAAGAACAUUUAACAAAUUUAUGUGCAAAAAAAAAAAAAAAAGGAAGAAGUUGAAGAGAAAGGGUGCUUGCAGAAGUGGGUGUCAAAGAUAAAUCGGUCCAUAAGAAUUAUUGUGGUUAUUUUUUGGCAAUAUAAAAAUUUUUUAGCAAGUAAAAAUAAUUUUUUUUCCGAUUUACUAAAAAAUUAACUAAAAACUUCUGCGAUGUCAUUUUUUAUGGGUGCAUAUACCCUCCCUUUAAAAAAUUUAUAAUAAUUACUGCUUAAUAUAGUAUUAAAUACGAAAAAUAUCAAUAUUUGACUACUCAAAUUUAUAUCAUUAGGUCCUUAAAAUUUAAAAUGGAAGAUAUGAAAGGAAAUAUAUAUAAAUUUCAUUGUCCUGGGAAAGGACCCUCUUAUUAUCUUAUAAUAUUUGAAAUUUGAUAGAUUUUUUGAAACAAAUGUACUUUUAUUUGUGUACAAUCAAUAUUUACUCAUUUAUUAUAUUUUAAUUUAUUAACUAUCAAUCAUGUAAGUAUACUUAGUCAAAAAAAUUAUAUCAAGAGAGAAUUCUAAUUUCACGCAAAAACAAAUACCAAAACAAAUAUCUCAAUUUCUAUACUAUUCACUUUCCUGUAGAAUCAAUUAUUUAAAAUGCAAGUUUGUGGCUACAGAAAACUCGCCAAAGAAAGAAGAUAAUAACAAUUGAGCAUUGAUGGCAAAACUAAUGCAUCCAAUUCUUCUUGACUUGAUGAGAUGGCGCCAUAACGUAGAAACAAGUACCUAAAUUGACCGGCACUGAGUGGUGUGAAUACUACCAGCCAGUUCAUCUCUUCCAGUCUUGCUUAAUCACAAUCACAAACACCACGAGAUCGACAUUUGCAUUAUAUAUAUCUUCUGCAAUCGAAACACCUUGCAUUACCAAAUAAGCCCGUAACAGACAAAGCAAUCUUUCAUGGAGAGAAACCUUAGUCUCAGUAUGAUCACUGUGUCAUUAACGUACUGCCUGCUUCUUUGCUUGGUUGCUGCAGCAGCAGCAGCGGCAAGCAACAAUAUUACCACAGACCAACAAGCUCUUCUUGCCCUGAAAGAUCAUAUAAUUUAUGAUCCGACCAGCCUUUUAGCUCACAAUUGGACCUCGAAUACCUCUGUUUGUACCUGGAUUGGCAUCACUUGUGAUGCCAAUAGCCAUAGAGUCACAACCUUAGAUAUUUCUCAAUUCAAUCUACAAGGCACCAUCCCUCCUCAACUUGGGAACCUCUCUUCACUCACAACACUUAAUCUUAGUCAUAACAAGCUUUCUGGAAACGUUCCCUCCUCCAUCUACACCAUGCAUACGCUAGAAUUUCUUGACUUCACUGAUAACCAGCUCUCUGGUUC
rnacentral:lncRNA from 1 species